rnacentral:lncRNA from 1 species
UAGUAGUGGGUGUACAUUUAUGUUUUAAGUAUGAACACAGGAUGGAGGGUUGUUAAUAUGAAGAAAUAUUUCAUGAAUAGGAGAGGGAUGUUGUAAAUAAUAUUUAUAACUGAAUUGAAUGUUUCUUUUCUAUUCUGAUUAAGCUCCCUUUAUUUUCUGUCCAGACUCCAGAGAAAUAAAGUCUGUCUGUCUGUCUGCAUGUCUGUUAAUAACAUUUGGGAUAUAAAUAAUUGCUUUGAUGUUUCAUACGCUAAGUUUCUCUUUCAUUUUGCUACUUGUGAUAUGACCUAUAACCAAAAGUUCUUAGUUGUUAGAAUGGAUUUGGUUCAGGUAAGGAAGGAUGGAAACAAGCAAAAGCUUGUGUAAUCUCUGUAAAUCAUUGGUAACAUAGUUCUGGAAAAUCCAAUUGAAGUAAUGUUUGACCGCUUUUUUGUGGAUUAGGUACCUUAGAAAUGAGAACUUGCACAGAGGAGUGAAUUUUGUAUUGCAUGAAGAGAGUGAAUAAGCUCAACAUAACACCAUUCUUCAUUCCUUUACAAAAUUAGGAAGUUUAAAUGUGAAUGAAUCAACUUACAGUAUUCUUCAUGAUGUAUGAAUCUUUCUGCGAUAUAAACAAUGAGAACCAAGAUGGAAAUUGGAAUUCCUUCAAUGAACAGCAGCAACUUCCUCACUCCGGUGCUCCCCACCUUCCAUCCCCAACAAUCUUUGUCACGGUUUUUGACAAAUUAAAGCUACAAACACCUUAGCUAUUGAAAAGUAUAAGCCAAAAGAAAACAACCCUGUCACUUUCUGGUUAGCAAUAAGAUAUCAUACAUUUCAACCACAUAGAACCUACAAAAUGAUUUAAGAACACAACUUAUAAUUUGCAGAUUGGAAGGAUAGUCUUCAUGGUUGGAGAACAUACAAGUGGCUGUGAAUGUAUAAUUCUUGAAUAGAGUUGAGAAGUGUAUGAAGAUAUUAGGAGCUAUGUGAUUGUUCGUAUAUCAAGAUGGUCUGUGUCUUUGCUACUGUCUUCCAUGGGGAGAGCCAUGGGGUACUCAUUUCCAAAUGUUCAGUGAGAAAAUCAAAUUGAAAGCCUGCAGUGAAUAUCAAUAAAUUAGCCUAUGGAGAAUUUGAGGCUCAUGAGUAUAUAUCAAGAAGACAAGUCACUUAUUAUACCUGGAGAGCUGCUUGGCACCAUGUCUUAUGACCAUAGGCAACAAGAACGUCAAAGUUAAUUUGUGUAUAAGGACAUUUGAGACUAGAACUGACAAUUCAAUCUUAAUAUUGAAGCACAAGAUGUUGAACAUCAACUUCUGUGAAGGAUUAGAGUUUAGGGCAAGUAGAUAUGCCCUUAAAGGAACAGUUAGAUGUCAAUCACAACUGACCUGAAAUUGGCUAGAUCGAAAUGGUACUUCAAACACAUAUUGAGAGGUGCUUUGACUUCUUCUAUGUCUCUGCCUUACAAGGAAGAGAAUACUUCAAAAAAUCCACAUAAUCAUUGGUAAGUACAAGAAGACCCCAAUAUUCUGUGUCUGUUUUCAACUGCUCUGUUGGAAGAAAAAAAAAAAGGACAAAACCCCUCUAAUUGAAGGAAGGGAGCAAAGUAGCAUAAGAUGCUACUUUCCCAUGCCAGUCUUUUGUAUUAUGAAGCUUUGAACCAUCUCAACCCAAAGGAUAUCCAUCAAUCUAAUAGUUCAUCAUGAUUUGCAAAACACAGGUUUGCAUGCAACAAUGACACUAAACAAUAAAGAUUGAUGCUAGUUUAGCUUAUUAGAGAACAAAGGACUACUGAGUCAGACAUCUGUUUUCCAUUGGAGAUGGUGCCCUAAUCAAGAAGAUUAAAGGGUGAUUGGAGUUGGAAGUGUCAUAAUCACCUGAAAGAAAACAAUUGCAAAGACAUGGACAGAUGCACGUAAAAUGUAUGUAUCCAUUAACAAAUGGUUAAUUGAGAGGAAGACAUCAUUUUUGAAACCAAAAGGAUUUCAGGUUUCUUAGCUUUGGUAGUAACACACCCAAGAUCUCCUUGUUUAAUACAAAUCAUCUUCCUAGAACUAAAACAGCAGCAUCCUCAGACGCCUUUGCAGAAGCUCUCAGCACCAGUUAAUGAAGGUGACUCAUGAGGGAUGGUCAAAGGGCUGGCUGAGAUAUCUGAAACAGAAGACAUGUUUAUUAUCUGUCUGUGUACAAUGGGAAUUCCUUGUAUUCAGGAUGUCAAAAUCUUUCUAAACAUCCGACUCUGCAGAUACAAACAAUGGGAAUUCCUCCAAUGAGAAGCACAGGAACAUUGUCAAUUCUAAGAAAAGGAUCCUGUUUCUGAAUAGGAUACAUGACAGUGAUCUAAGUAAUCAUCCCAACAGCAACAUGAGACAGAAGACCUAAUAAAAACCAAAACAAGAACAAAAUGACAUCAAAAUUAGGAAAGAAAUAAAUGCAGCAAAAUCAUAACAAAGAUGCUAUAUUCCUGUAUCCUUGCCUUAGGAAUGUAACUAAUUGGUGAUCUCUCCCUUUAUGCAAGCAGAAGCACAGGAAACACCAUCUCUGGUAAAAUGCUGACUGCCAAACCAAAAUAGAGCAACCUCAGCCAAACAUGACCUGACUUGACCAAUUCAGUACUAGAAACAUAGAAGCCAUUGUAGUAGUGUACUUGUCAUCUCUCUGUUUAAUAUCAGUUAAGUUUUCAGGCACUGAAAGAGCAGAACCUUCCUCACUCCACCUUCCAUCCCCAGCAACCUUUGAAAUAAUUUUGUUACAAAUUAAAACAACAAAUGCCUUAUUUAUUGAAAAGCAUAAGCCCAAAGAAAACAUACCUGUUUCUUUCUGGUUAGGUAUAAGAUACCACACAUUUCAACCUCAUACAACCUACAGAAUGAUGUAAGAGCAACUUGUAAUUUGCAGAUUAUGAAGAGGGUCUCCUCUGUUUUACCAUCAGAAAAUGGACCAAAGCAAUCAAAAUAUUUCUGUAACCAUAAAUUAGCCAAAAAAAUGUGCCCAUGUAUGCUUAUGUAAGAGAAAAUUAGAAAUCAGCCUUGCCAAUUGGAAAGGUAACUUACUUGAUUCAUGGAGAGUAUACAAGUGACUUUGUUUAGUAUGAGCUACCUGGAUUCAAAUAUUUCUUCACUCUUGAUAUCUUUGUUCCUGAUUUGUAGCUUAAUAAGAAAAAUGAAAAAAUAAGAAUCUUAAACCAAACAAACAGAGCAUAAAAUUGACUUUUGUUAAUGUGUAAUUCUUGAAUAGAGUCAAGAAGUGUAUAAAGAUUCUUAUGAUUGUCCAUGAGUAGAACUAUUAUGAUUGUCCAAGGGGAGUUGAACUUGGGUGUUGAAAAUUACCAAUGAAAGAGUCGAGGGCAUGUAUCUUGGCUGUUGUCUUUCAUGGGGAGUCAUUGAAGAAAGAUCAUUGCCAAAUGUCUAGUGAGAAAAUCAUAUGGAAAGCCUACAGUAAAUGUCGAUAAAUUAGUCCAUGGAACAGAAAUAGAGGCUCAUGAGUUUAUUUAAUAAAACAAUUCCCUUAUUAUACCUCAAGAACUGAUUGGCACAAUGUGUUAUGACAAUAGGCAACAACAUCUUAAAAGUUUGUGUAUUAGGAGACUUGAUACUAGAACCACAAAUCCAAUCUUAAUAUCUUGCAGCACAAGAUGUUGAAGAUCCACUUCUAUCAAGGAUGGAGCUCAGGACAAGUAGACGUCACACACAACUGAACUGAACUUGGCAAGAUUGACAGUUCCCAACGACCAGAGCUUAGAGGUGCUUUGACUUCUUUCUUCUGCAAGUACAAGAAGACCUCAAUAUGCCGUAUCAUGACGAUGUAAGAGUGAAGGAAGGGGGUAAAGUAGAAGACAAGUGGCAUCAAGUCAAAAGAUGAGAUUUUGAGUUUGAGACACUAGGCAAUUCCAUAUCAACACAAAUUGGACUUAAAAUAGUGACCGAAACCAAUUGAAUAAUAGGCUCUUUUGGAGGGAUCCUUUUUCUAAUUUCAUAAAUUCUCAGACUCUAAUUCUAUUUCAAAUAAGUCACAAAUCUAAUUAUUUCUAUUUACUUGAUAUAUUUCUCAUUAUCAAAACAAAAAUAUGUUUCUUAUAAGAAAUCAUUCAUGUUCAUCCUGGUUACUUAAUGUGAGUCGGAGAGGAAAAACGAUGAUUAACUUGAUAUGGAAGGGAGAAAAGAUACAGUAUCUUGAUUCUAAUUCAACUCCUGUGAAAAGAUAACUUGCAAAAGGAUCAAAAUAAGUAUUCAUAUAAUUCAAAAUUGUUUACAUGCAAUAGUUAGACGUAGAGCCUAUUUGUGAUGCAAGUAAAAUUGCAAGCACAUUUCAUCAUAGACAUGGAUAGGCAAUACCUAAGGUAUUAGAAGAUGUACGAGUGUUUAAAUCAUCGGUAUUCCACAGAAAAUACAUAAACUUGCAAAACCUUUUUAGUCAUUCAUGUAAUUUAGAGGCCCAAUAAGGUUAAUAAAGUCAUCAAAUUAAACCUUUGGUAAUGAUACCUUUUUGUUAGGCAUUGCCUGGCAGAAAGUUGUAAGUAUGGCAGAAAGUUGAAUCUCCAUUUUUAAGGAUGGAAAAGGGAUCAAUAAGUACAAAUCUAAAGUAGGCCACGAAAAAGAAAUAAAACAAUUAAAAUGUUCAACUGACCAUAAACUACCAGAAAUUCGUCCAUGCCUGCCUGUAUCACAGAAAUUCAUGGAUAAAUUCAGGAAUCACCUCUGCCCAUUAUAAAGGUAAAUUGAAUGAGCCAUUGAAAUAUUUCAAUUGUCUAUGUUAAAAUGCAAGUACCUAUUGUCAGUCUUCCUCCACACCUCUUCACUUCUUUGUUUUCAGUCUUGUAGCAUAAGAGAAAAAACCUGAAGUCAAAGGGCAGAGUAUUUUUGCACACUCAAAUCUCCAACAACAGGGCAGCAAAAAUUGACGCAGGCCAUAUUGCAAAUUUCCAAUGGAAUAGUCUCAGAAGUGUGUUUGCUGCUGCCUUUCCAGGGGGAGACUCAUCAAAUAUUGUUUCAUUGGAAAGAUUAUAGUCAUAUAUCAAGAACACAAGUCUCUUAUACGUGGAGGGCUACUUGGCACCUUGCCUGCCUGACCAUAGGCAAUGGAAUCUUACAAGUUUGUGUAUAUUGCCACAAACUUUUGUUAACCUGAGAAACAUAAAUAUAUUAUCACAAUAGAAAUGAUUAGAAAUUCAGACGCACAUAAAUAUUGGCACAUUGGUCUUUUUGUUUUUUUGGAGUGUAGAACAAGUACCUGACUGACUGUAUGGCACACCCAAGUCAUUAUGUAUGUGGAAUCACCACCUUCAUUAGUCAUUAGUAUAGCACACGAUCUAUCACUAUGUGUGGAAUGUGAGCUAUAUAUUCCCAAUCUUGGCCUUUCUCAAAUUGGCAUCUACACUCUAGCAAAGGACAACCAUAGAUUUUCAGCCAAGAGAGGGAGUUUGGCAGUCUCUCUUUUGUCAAGUAUUGGAGCUGAUCGCAGUCAGAGAUAAACAAUUUUUUAAGAGAGGUGAGGUGUUGAAGACCUACUUCUCUCAAGGAUUCGAGCACAGGGAGGAAGUCCAUCUCUAACUCUUCAAGAGAGGUAAGAUGUUGAAGCCCCUCUUCUCCGAAGGAUUGGAACUUACGGCAGUUGGAGAUGUAUAAUGUUGUUAGAGAGGUAAGAUGUCGAAGCCCGUUGCUGUCCAGAGACUUGAGAUUCGGAAGAUUAGAUAUGUGAAGAGAGGUAAGUGUGGAGGGCAGUAGGGACUCAUUGGGAAAUGAUUCCAUGUCUCGGCAUCCAUCAUUGAUUCUGAAUUCUGUAAGAGAGGACAGUCUUUGCAAACCCCAGUCCACCUGAGAUGUGAGUUGGUUGCAGGAUGAAAUUUCAACUUCACGUAGGUCGGAGGGCAAACCAUCUCUCUGAAACAACAAUUCUGGACAAUCUAUUAACCUCAAUUCCUGCAACGAUGAGAGCGUGUGCGCCAGCAACUUCAGCUUCCUGCAUCUGGAGAUCUCAUAGUUUGCAGACUCGAGAGCGGGCAAUUCAAUAUAUACAAGAUCAGGGCACCGAAUGAUUUGAAAACUAUUAAGAGAUGUGGGAUCCCCCUCUGAAACGGAGAUGGAGAGGAAUUCAAGCCCUUCGAAAUCAGAGAUGUUGAGACUGUUCAACCGUGGGAAGAUGCUUAAUGAGAAAGAUAAUGAGAAAGAAUUACGGCUGCUAACAUCACAAAUGGAUAAACUUUCAAGGAAUGGAUGGUGGGAUCUCAAUAGCGCAUGCAGGAGAAACUCCAGUUUGUUACACUUCGAGAUACGUAGUGACUUCAAUGUAGUGGGGAAACCAACACUGUGCAAGGGUCUGGAGAAACGACAACUUGUGAUGCACAAAUGUUGGAGAAGACAUGUGCUUCUUUGUAGCAUUCCCUCCUCCAAUACCCACUCUAUCGAAUCACAUUCUCUAAUGAAUAGCGUCUGUAUUCGUGGUGGUAGUUCCUCCAAUUGAGAAAUGUCUGAAAUUUCAAUUACUGAAGUUUGGAGAUUAGUGAACCCACAAGCUGGCCUUUUCAACCGAAAUUUACCAGAAUACGACAUUUUCCAUUCACGGAUUUGAGGAGCUCGGAGGGAGCCCACAAGCAACUCACAACCAAUGAUUUCAAGUUUCUUCAAUGAACGAAGCUGUUUUGGUAAUUUCCCAGUGAGUUUGGGAGAUUCAUUUAUGCAAAGCUCCUGAAGACGAGGGAAUUCUCCACGUCUGCAUCCACAACAUAACCAUUUCUCCCAGUUGUACAUCUUCUCGAAUCUUAGAGUUUGUAGGGACGGGAAGGAGGGCUCAAUUGUGUUGGAGGAAGAAGCAUUCCCAUAAAAUUCACUACCCACCAUUUUAACUCCUUUCAUUUGUAAGAUAGAAAGAUGUUUAAGAGAGGGUAGCUGCCCGAGUGGUGGCAAUGAUGGACAAUUGUUACAAUUGUGAAGCUUCAGGUAAACAAGAUUGAAGAAUGAAGGAUCUCCUACCCAAGCUGGAAAGCUUAAACCACUAAAAGAAUAAAUAUGGAGUCUCUUGAGGUUUGUAUGUGGCUGUAAGCUGCUGAGUAUAUCCCUUCUAUUUUGCACAACAACACCAGCAUCGAUAUUCUUGUAAUCCCACUGCAACUUCAACUCAUCAAGGUACUUUUUAUCCUUCAUAUUAGCUUCUAAUGCAUCCCUAUCACAUACAACAUUCUGCAGCUUUGAAAUGACAAGACUUCCCGAAAGCUCCCUCAAUGCUCCCAAUCUUAACCCACCAUUUUGGCCCACAAUAAAUGUAGAAAGUGAUUGUAAAUUCUUUAGCUUACAUAUAUCACUUGGCAUCUCUUUCACUGAAGAAGUAUAACGAAUAUCAAGGUAGCGCAAAUUAAUCAAUUUUUCCAUCCUUGAGGGUAAUUCAACGAGAUAAUCACAUCCCAAUAACAUCAUUGUUUGUAAAUUGUAUAAGUUACAAACCGAUUCAGGCAACUUUUGAAUCCUUGUCCUAGAGAGAUCCAAGUAGCGCAAGUGUUUCAACUUCUCAAUCGAAUGAGGCAAAUCAGUAAUAAGAUAACCAUUCAAACACAACACUCGUAAACAUUUCAUUUCUGGCAAUAUAUGCUGUAAAACUCUAUUACUCAAGUAUGUAUAAUAAUAGUUUCUUCUUGGUAAAAAUGUUCGGAGACGCUUCAUUUGAGGAAGUGUGUCAAAACUCUCAUAUACAUCAAAUUCACUAAUCAAAUACGAUAAAUGACGAGUUUUCUUCGAGACUCUGUAUAUCUUACCAUCCUCCAAAGAAACAGAAAAUUCUAUAGAUACCAAUUGUGCCAAGUCAUUAACAAGGUCGUGCAUUACAAAACAUGACUCAUUACUUACUGAAUUUUGGAAAAAUGACUUUGAUAGAAGUUCUUCAAAGUACAAAUUGCCUACCUCCUCCGGUCUUUUCUUGCUUUUUGAUUGUUCCAACAAACCUUCUGCCAUCCAUAACAAAACUAGCUUCUCCUUUUCGAAUUUGUAGUCUUUGGGAAAGAUUGAACAAUAAGAAAAACAACGUUUUAGAUGUGAAGGCAGGUAAUAAUAACUCAACCUCAGAGCAGGAAGAACCGCAUCUGUGGGCAAAUCCCAUAAUUCACUGUUUAAUACAUCAUCCCAUUCUCUUGCUUCAACCUUGGAGUGUAAGAGACUCCCCAUUGCUUUUAUAGCCAGCGGUAGACCUUGGCACUUGUGGACAAUCUUUUCUCCGAUUGCUUCUAGUUGUGGAUGCCCACUUGAGUCUCCAUUUUCAAAUGCAAGUUUUUUGAACAGGGACCAGCCAUCUUCAGAGGAUAACCCACCUAAACAAUGAGUAUGGACUGCACGCAUGGCAGAUGCAACCUUGGUGCUUCUCGUAGUUACAAUAAUCUUGCUUCCCUUUGCCCCGACUAUGAGCGGAGUUCGUAGCGUAUCCCAGUCACAAGAGUCUUCGUUCCAAACAUCAUCAAGGACAAGUAGAAAUUUCUUCAUAUUAAUUCUCUCCUUCAGUUGAACCUGAAGUAGAUUUAGAUCAGUGGUAUUGGACGUGGAUGAAUUGAUUGCCUCGAGAAUUGUUUUCGUUACUCUGAUAGGAUCAAAUUCUUCGGAAACACAAACCCAUGCCUUGAGAUCGAAGUGUUCCUUCACCCUUUGGUCAUUGUAGAGAAGCUGGGCAAGUGUGGUUUUGCCUGUGCCACCCAUGCCGACUAUGGAGAUCACACCCAUCGCAUCAGUACUCCUUGCAUUAUUGCACAGCAACAGUUGAACCAUCUCCUCCUUAAUUUGAGCCCUGCCAUAGACAAGAGAUUCAUCUACCAAAGAAGUAGAAGGCCACCUUUGUGCCAAUUUCUCACCAACGCCUUCUUUCAACCCGAGGACGUCUCUGUCUCGUGCCAUAUCUUCUAGUCUAUCAAUGAUCUCCUCCACCCUAGACUCUAUGCCCUGACCAUAAAAUGGAGCGAGAACCCAGGUUGACAUGUCCAUGAUGUUACCCACCUGACUUGUGCUGGUUUGGGACUCCGCAGCUUCCACCUUGUGUCGCAAAGCCUCUGUGGUGAUCUCAUCCAAUAUGUCCUCCGCAUCAUACACGGCCUCUUUAAGCAAGACCAGCCACUUCUUCACAUAUGGAUUUGUAAAUUGUUUGACCUCAGCAUCGUUGAGCACUGCAUGGACGACCAGCAACUUCCUUUCCAACUUCUUCAGGAGCGCAUCGCUGAGCUUCUGCCCCCGGAUGAAGCUCACAACCUCGCGAGAAGCCAACCUGUCAAAUAGAACAUGGAGAGAAGCUGAGAGAAACGCACCUCCAACUAAAGCCCCUGCCAUUUCUGUUUCUCUUGCAAAGGAGGUGAAAGAUGAAUCGAGGGAAGAAGAAAGCAAGCAGACCCAAAAUGAAACCUCCAAACCAGAAAAAAAAAUUAUAGAGAAAAUCCAACUUGUUGACGGUAAAGGAACUUUGGAUUCCAAAGUUUUCAUGGUAGACCCCCCCAUAUGCCAGCUUUCUUUGCCGACAACAAACUUCAUUGGUCAAUAUAUAGAAAAUGAAAAUUUGAUUGAAGAUUUUCAUCCUUCGUACAUGAUUUUCCUUCUAUUGUGAUAAAAACGUAGACUUAAUUGAAGCUUCAUGAAAGCCAUCUUCUGACUUUUUCUGGAUUUCAUCAUUGAUUAAAUGAAAAGUUUUGGUUGUAAAUCAAGGUAUUUUGAGAAUUAAAUGAGAUUUAUAUAAAAAAAUUUAUGAAAAUUUACUUUUAUUGUGUGCUUAAUAUAGGUGAAACUAACAAUUUUUUAGGGUUAAUAUAAAUAUUUUUCUCGUCAGAAUCAUCAAACCAAAAAAAGUUAUCAGGUUUUGAUUUGGAUUUAAGGGUUAAAUCUUGGGGGAUCAUGAUUAAAGAAUGAUAUUAUAAAUAUAUAAUUUAUACAUCAAUUAAAAAUAACUCACAAAAAUUAAAAUUAUUUGUAAAUAUUUUAAAUAAUUGAAAUAUUUUACCAUUUUAUGUUUAAUAUUAUUAUAUUAAAUUGUGAUAAGAAUAAAAUAUAAAUUUAUUAAUAUUUUUAUUUUACUAGUUACUAAAAAUAUUGUAUUUAAUUAUUGAAAGAAUGUAUUAUAUAUAAAAAAUAGAAUAAGAUUUUGAUAUUUAUUUUUUUCAUUUUAUAUUUUAUAAAUCUUGUUAAUAUUUUAGUGUGAAUAUAUACAUGAAUAUCCAAUAUAUUUAUUUUAUAUAUAAAAAAAAACCAUGUUUAGGGGAAAAAUGGAAAUGGUUGGCACUUUUACAUUUAAGGGGAAAGCAAGUGGAGGCAACGUAGUUUGUAUCUUUUUUCUAUUAAAUACAAAAAAGAGGUACAAGAACCUAAAAAAUAGAAGAAAAAUAACAAAAAAAAAAAAAAAGACGCAACAGUUGGGAAAAGGUUGGUCUAAUUCUUAUUUGACCAACCAAUUUGAACUCUUAGACUUGCUUAAGCUUUUAGUAAAUUGAUUAUUCAAAAUGGUAUCAUAACUUGAUUUGAUAGGAGGUCUUAUUGAUAGGAGGUGUUAAGAAUAUAAUAUGAAUAUUAAACCCAAAUCGUAUAAAUUUAAUUUUUAGGGAAAUUGGUUGUUUAACAAGAUCGAUGGUUCAAGUGGUCCACUAGGUAAAAUUGUUCAAUUUCUCAAUAGUAGGAUGAUUGGUCGAUAUUCCAACAGGUCGAAUUAUCCAAUUUGGUUCAAUUUUUAAAACCUUAAUUAAUAAGCAACAACAUACAAUUUCUAGAUGGAUUAUGAUUCUUUUAUCGAAUUUCAAUAGAAUCGUUAAUGCAUAAAGUUUUUUUAUAUAUAGAUACUAUGGAUUUGUUUGGCAAAUUUUGAAAAACAAUUCUUAGUUAUUUUGAGGAAUAAAAUUCUAUUUGAAAACUCAAAUAUAAAAAAAGGCUUUAUUAAUUUAUUUUUUAUAAAAGUAUUGUGCAUUUAUGUAUAAUUCAAAAGUUUUUAAAAUAUUUUACAUUUUUUCAAUUAUUACUCACAACUCAAGCAUGCACAAAAAAUAACUAAAAACAUCUCAAUUUUAUUAUAAAAAAGUUAUUUUUAGAAUACAUUCUCAAAAAAUUAUUUUGUAUAAAAAAUGUUCUAUAGAAAAAAAAUAAAAAUUCAAAAUCAUUAGUAAGUAAGCCUAUGCAACUGUGAAUGCUUUGCACAAAAUGAAAAAGAAAAAUGGUAUUUUUCAAUACCAUUUGAAAUCAUGAAAAGACCAUAACCUUGCAUACAAUAUAUGGGUCAAGGCCUUUAAAAAAAAAAAAAUCUUUUUAUUUGGAUAUCUAACUUGGGAUUCAAGGUUUAAUUAGGAAUUUGGUCAUUCAUCACCAUUUUCAUUAGUUGAAAUUCUUUGGUAGACUUGGUUGUUGACUUGGUAGUUCAUAUCAAGCCAUAUGGACUUCAGACCCACCCACUAGAUAUGAAUGAAAAUAAAGGCAAGUGGGGGUGGUAGGAAGACUCUUAUUAAUAGCUUUUGUCAAGUACUGGAGCUUAGGGUAGUUGUGGACCAAUGUUACUUAGGAUCUUAUCAAUUCUUGUUACUGACAGCUGGGGUUGUAGCUUAAGAAAAUAUCUUCAAUCAAACAAAUGAUACACCAGCAAACCCAAGUCUCCAACAAGAAUCAAAUUUCGCAUACCAGAUUUUCACCUUAUCCUUUCUCUAUUAUUUUUUCAAACAAAAAUUCCAUUAAUGUUAAAUUAUUAUUAAGUUGCAUAUUUUAGUUGCUUGAAUAUCAUUAUUUAAUAAGGGGCCAUGGGGUGUUAUGUAAUCCAAGUAGAAAUUAAUAAUAACUCUUUGUGCAAUUGUUUAGCCUACAUUUUUUUUUCUUUUUUCAUUUAGACAACACUUGUAGCAUCUUAAAUCCUGGUUUCCCUCAUUGGAUUGAAGUAGUUUUAGCAGAAAAUGUAAUGUGCAAAACCAUGGCUGCUACAUGUAACUCUAUCGAUAUAUCUAAAUCAACUAUUUUUUUUUGUCAAAGGUGAAAAAUGAUUAGUACUAGUACAUUAAAAUAAGAACUAUAUGUUGCAUAAGGAAAAGGUUUAAUAUUGCAACAUAUUAAUAGAAGGGCAUCAACUAAAAUUAUCCAUAUAUAAAGGUGUAUAGGAUUUUAUUAUGAUUCGAUCAAUCAUGCCUACCUUCACAGAUGCGAGAUAACAUUUCACAAUAUGAUAGAAAAUAUUACAGAGGAUACAAAUAAUUACAACUAUUGGAUUUCAAAAUAUUUCAAGUUUUCCACUCUUUGUAUUUUCAUUCUAAAUCAUGAGCUAUUUUGCUCCAUCCGGUGUCUCCCACUCUUCCUCGUAUCUACACCCUAGACCGUAAGGCCUCUUACUCUAUCAGAUGUCUUUUACUCAUUUUCACAUCUCUAUCCAUAAUAUGUAGUCUUUACAAACUGACCUCUAUUAUAUCUCUUCUCAUAACUUUUUCAACUUGAUCAUAACCUAAAAUAUUUAUAGAGAUACUCCUAUUUGCUUUACUUAUUCUAUAAAGAAUCUAAUUACGAUCACAUAUCAACCUAGGAAACAUUUUAUAUAAUAUUCCUUUUUGACCGCUGGAUUUGUAAUUUGCUUCGCCUUGGCAUCAUUGAGCACGGCAUGGACAGACAACAAUUUUCUCUUCAACUUCUUGAGGAGUGCAUGAUUGAGCUUGUGCCCCAUGAUGAAGUUGAGUACCUCGUGAGAAGCAAGUCUGUGAAAUAGAACUUGGAGAGAAGCUGAGAGAAAAACACCUCCAGCCAAAGCCCCAUCCAUGUCUGUUUCUCUGGCAAAAGGAAGUGAAAGAUGAAUCGAGGGAAGAAAGUAAGCACACCUAAGAUGAAACCUCCAAACUAGAAAAGAUUGGUUCAGGCGAAGUUUCCAAUGGUUGAAUGAAUUAUUGGACAUUGUGGUAGAGCCCAGACUUCUGCAUUGUUAUUGUUGACAAAACAUCACAGCUCAGUGGUCCACGAAAAGAAUACAAGGAGAAAGGAAGAAAAGGAAAGGGGACGUAAACGAAAGUCAUACAUGGAUAUGUGAACUUACAAAUCCUAUAUCCUUUUAUCAAUAAAACAGUUGAAAUAUUUUAUCAUUUUUAUAUUAAAUCAUGAUAAAAAUAAAAUGUAAAUUUAUUAAUAUUUUUAUUUUAUUAGUUCGUAAAUUAUAAUAUUUAAUUACUAAAAAAUAUAUUAUAUGUCAAGAAAAGAAGAAGUUUUUUUCUUUUCCUUUUUCUUUUUUAAAAUUUUACGUGAAUAUUCAAUAUAUUCAUUUCAAAUAAUUAAUGUUAUUAAAAAUGGUAUUUUUAAUACUAUUUGACAUCAUAAAAGGACCAUAACCUUGCAUACAAUAUAUGGGUCAAGGCCUUUUCAAAAAAAUAAUUUGUUUUUAUUUGGUCAUUCAGCACCAUUUUCAUUUAUUGAAAUUCUUUCGUCGACUUGGUUGUUGACUUGGGAAUUCACGUCAACCCAUAUGGACUUCAGAUUCCCCACCAGAGAUGAAUGAAAAUAAAGGCAAAUAUGAAAGGCAAGUGGUGGUGGUAGGAAGACUCUUAUCAAUAACUUUUGUCAGGUACUGGAGCUUAGGGUGGCUGUAGACCAAUGUCAUCCCGAAUCUUAUCAAUCCCUGUUACUGACUGCCGGGGUUAUAGCUUAAGAAAAUAUCUUCAAUCAAUCAAAUGAUGCAUCCGCAAAUCCAGGUCUCCAGCAAAAUUCAAAUCAUUAUUCACAUCACAACCUUUUUUGAACCUAUGUGCAAGCAAGGAGGCUGCUCGUGCGGUUAGGUGUUAAUGAAGGAUGAAAAUAUCGGUAAUCAUGGAUAUAUUAGUACUUGAAUUUUACGGAUAUAUUGAGAUAUAUCGACGAAUAUUUUGCCACAAAAUAUCGAUAGAUCAAAAAUUCAUCAAAACUUAUGAAAAUGUAAGAAAAAAACUCUUAAAAAUGAAAUUAGAAGUAUAAUAGACAUUUUAAAGUUGUUUUGUUGAAAAAUUAAUAUAUGUAUGAUAUGAUUUGCGAUAUUAAAUUUAAUUAUAUAGUGUUGACUAAUAAGAAAUGUGAAUUUUUUAAGUGUAGACUCAUUAUGAAGUUAAAUUAUUACAAAUAUACUAAUUAUAUAAUUUAAAUAUAUUACUAUAUUAAGUUAAUUUACUUACCUCUAUUGAAAAUAUAUUAAUUAAUUGUAAAAAUGUACUAAUUUAAAUUCAAUGUUAUAUUAAUUUAAAAUUGUAUUAAGUUAAUUUAUUCUUAAUAUACUAUUAUUACACUUGAAUAUCAAAAUAAAAUAAAAUUAUUAAUUUAAAACUAAAUUAUUGAAAAUUUACUAAUUAUGUUAUUUAAAAAUAUUUAUGAUUUUUAUUUUAAAAUAUUGGUACAUUUUGAUACAAAAUAUUUUUAUUUUAAAAUAUUGAUAAUUUUAUUUGUGAUUUUAUAUUUGUUUUAUAUUUAAUUAGUAUACAAAAUAAAUUAUAAGAUAAUUAAAGUUAACUUAUUUAUAAUAAUUUAAUUUUUUACCAAUUUUUCACUGAUAUAUUAUAUCCAAUAUAUCUUUGAAAUUUCAGCAAUUUUUUCCCAUUUAGGAUCGAUAUUUUGCUUGUAUCACCGAUAUAUUUGUGACACCGAAAUUUACCGAUAUUUCCAUCAGAUGAUAUAUCUUACUUAUAUAUUGUAUCCACCUUCUUCGAUACACUAUAUAUCGGCGAGAUAUUGCCAAUAUAUCUUGAUAUUUUCUUCCUUGGUGUUAACAGGGUUAGCCAAUUUGUUGAAUUUGUAGUUUAACAUCCACACACACAUUCUUUCCACAUCAUUUGAUGGCCAUUCAUAGAUUAUAUAUAAAUUUAGAGUACUUAGGAUUUGAGGGCCAUGAAGGGAAAAAAGACAGUGGUAAAGAAGGAAAAAAGUAGAACUGUAAUUAGCUUGGCCCUUGAGAAAUAUUUUUUGGUCACACUGUUCCAUCAUUUGGCCUGAACGAAAAUCCUCAAUAUGUCAAAGCUAUAUUGUACAAAAUUCCUUACAGGCUAAUAUUUGUUGACACACUUCUGCCAUGAAUACAUAAGCCGGUAGUGUUAGAGCUCUCCACAUUACUGAGACAGAUGGGCUCCUGUCAUGAAACAUUUGAUUUUUCCAGGAAAAGGAAAAUUUUGUCCUAGUUGAGUUCCAAUGACCCGUCCUUAUAUUUGCUUGCGCAAUUUUGGAGUUCAUUCUCUCCCUCCUUAAUUGUCUAAGAACUGAUGGAUGCUAAUCUUAAACCGUCUGGCAUUAGCCAACCCUAUGGAGAUGGAAAACAUGGUAGUUAGGUGUGGCGAAGAAGUCUCAAAGCUCUUGGACCCUUUUGAAGAGGCAGGAAUUGAAGAAAUUGUUGAAAUCAUGAGUGGAUUUUCAAGAGAUUGUGAGGAAGUCGCCAACAUCGACAAGUUUCAAGCGAGGAAAGCAGUUAUGAGCAGGAUGUUGGUGAAGAGCCUGCAACCUGGGGAUGUCAUGUUUGAGAGAAUAUCCCAUGCUGUUUAUUUGGCUGCAAGAGGAGUAGUGCUUGUAGGGAAGGGCCCUCAAGGAAGAAAAUUAGCAGAAAUGGCACUCUGGCGGGUGAGAGCUGUUGAUCUGAUUGAUAGAGUGGUGACAACUGCUGUAAUAUUGGUGGCAGCAGCCACAGUGUCGGUUAAUAUUCAUGGGCAAUGGUAUACAUAUCUGAUUGAUUUGACAUGAAGAAGAAUGAAGUUAAUUAUAAGGUGGAAAGAAGAAAAUAAUGCACACACCUGUACAUAGUAGUGGGUGUACAUUUAUGUUUUAAGUAUGAACACAGGAUGGAAGGUUGUUAAUGUGAAGAAAUAUUUCAUGAAUAGGAGAAAGGGAUGUUGUAAAUAAUAUUUAUAACUUAAUUGAAUGUUUCUUUUCUAUUCUGAUUCAACUCCCUUUAUUUUCUGUCCAGACUCUAGAGAAAUAAAGUAUGUCUGUCUGUAUGUCUGUUAAUAACACUUGGGAUAUAAAUAAUUGCUUUCAUGUUACAAUCAAAAGUUCAUAGUUGUUAGAAUGGAUUUGGUUCAGGUAAGGAAGGAUGGAAACAAGGCAAAAGCUUGUGUAAUAUCUGUAAAUCAUUGGUAACAUAGUUUUGGAAAUUCCAAGUGAAGUAAUGUUUGACCACUUUUUUCUGGAUUAGGUACCUUAGAAAUGAGAACUUGCACAGAGGAGUGAAUUUUGUAUUGCAUGAAGAGAGUGAAUAAGCUCAACAUAACACCAUUCUUCAUUCCUUUACAAAAUUAGGAAGUGUAAAUGUGAAUGGAUCAAGUUACAGUAUUCUUCAUGAUGUAUGAAUCUUUCUACUGAUAUAAACAAUGAGAACCAAGAUGGAAAUUGGAAUUCCUUCAAUGAACAACAACAACUUCCUCACUUUGGUGCUCCCCACCUUCCAUCCCCAACAAUCUUUGUCACAAUUUUAUGACAAAUUAAAGCUACAAACACCUUAGCUACUGAAAAGUAUAAGCCAAAAGAAAACAACCCAGUCACUUUCUGGUUAGCAAUAAGAUGUCAUACAUUUCAACCACAUAGAACCUACAAAAUGAUUUAAGAAAACAACUUGUAAUUUGUAGAUUGGAAGGAUAGUCUCCAUGGUUGGAGAACAUAUAAGUGGCUAUGAAUGUAUAAUUCUUGAAUAGAGUUGAGAAGUGUAUGAAGAUAUUAGGAGCUAUGUGAUUGUUCAUAUAUCAAGAUGGCCUGUGUCUUUGCUACUGUCUUCCAUGGGUAGAGCCAUGGGGUAUUGUUUCAUUGGAAAGAAAGAUCAUUUCUAAAUGUCCAGUGAGAAAAUCAAAUUGAAAGCCUGCAGUGAAUAUCAAUAAAUUAGCCCAUGGAGAAUCUGAGGCUCAUGAGUAUAUAUAAAGAAGACAAGUCACUUAUUAUACCUGGAGAGCUGCUUGGCACCAUGUCUUAUGACCAUGGCAACAACUUAAAAGUUAAUUUGUAUGUAAGGACAUUUGAGACCAGAACUGACAAUUCAACUUCAAAGUUAAUUUGUAUAUUGAAGCACAAGAUGUUGAACAUCAACUUCUGUGAAGGAUUGGAAUUUAGGGCAAGUAGAUAUGCCCUAAAAGGAACAGUUAGAUGUCAACCACAACUGAACUGAAAUUGGCUAGAUUGAAAUGGUACUUCAAACACAUAUUGAGAGGUGCUUUGACUUCUUCUAUGUCUCUACCUUACAAAGAAGAAAAUACUUCAAAAAAUCCAUAUAAUCAUUGCUAAGUACAAGAAGACCCCAAUAUUCUGUGUCUGUUUUCAACUGCUGUGUUGGAAUAAGAAAAAAAAAAAACCCUCUAAUUGAAGGAAGGGGGCAAAGAAGCAUAAGAUGCUACUUUCCCAUGCCAGUCUUUUGUAUUAUGAAGCUUUGAACCAUCCCAACCCAAAGGAUAUCCAUCAAUCUAAUAGUUCAUCAUGAUUUGCAAAACACAGGUUUGCAUGCAACAAUGACACUAAACAAUAAAGAUUGAUGCCAGUUUAGCUUAUCAGAGAAAAAAGGACUACUGAGUCAGACAUCUGUUUUCCAUUGGAGAUGAUGCCCUAAUCAAGAAGAUUAAAGGGUGAUUGGAGUUUGAAGUGUCAUAACCACCUGAAAGAAAACAAUUGCAAAGACAUGGACAGAUGCACAUAAAAUGUAUGUAUCCACUAACAAAUGGUUAAUUGAGAGGAAGACAUCAUUUUUGAAACCAAAAGGAUUUUUCUUAGCUUUGGUAGUAACACACCCAACAUCUCCUUGUAUAAUACAAAUCAUAUUCCUAGAACUAAAAUAGCAGCAUCUUCAGGCGCCUUUGGAGAAGCUCUUAGCACCAGUUAAUGAAGGUGACUCAUGAGGGAUGGUCAAAGGACUAGCUGAGAUAUCUGAAAUAGAAGACAUGUUUAUUAUCUGUCUGUGAAUAACUAGUGUUGAGCAAAAUGCCUUAGUAGCUACAAAAAUGCUGGAAGACGUGUGAAAGUUGUUUUUGAAUUGAGGAAGCUUAGGAAUCUGUUAAGAAGGCUGCUGAGGUGAGAAGAGAUGCUGAAAUUGAGGCUGCAACCAUAAAACAACUUAGUCAAUGAACCUGAUAGAGUUUCAUGGAGCUGUUAUGCUGCUGUUGCUAUUUUAUAAGAAAUAGCUGUUAGUUCCAGCUAUUUUUGCUGCUUUUCUAUUGUUUUCUAUUGCAAACUUGUGUAUAAAUGUUGCAUUUAUCAUUCAAUAAGAGUAGACAUUUUCGUUGUCUCAUAUACAACUUUUGGUUGUUGCUUCCAGCACUUCUAGAUUCUAAAACCAACAGAUUGGUAUCAGAGCCUUCUAUCUUAAGGGACCUGUGAGGAUUGAGUGAAGCCAAAAUACCUUCAAAUGGAUGGAGAUACAAGCUUUCUGUCAGUACCAGUUUUCAAUGGUGAUAAUUAUCAAGCAUGGGCUGUUAGAAUGACAGUCCACCUUGAAGCUUUGGAUAUUUGGGAGGCAGUAGAAGAAGAUUAUGAAGUACCACCACUUGGAGACAAUCAAAGUAUCAAUCAAAUGAAGAUUCACAGGGAAAGAAAAACAACGAAAGCGAAAGCCAAGGCCUGCCUCUUCUCCGCAGUUUCACCUUCCAUUCUCACCAGAAUCAUGCAAAUGGAGUUUGCUGCAGAAAUCUGGGAGUAUCUAAAAAAUGAGUACCAGGGGAAUGAAGGGGUGCAGAAUAUGCAGGUAAUGAAUUUAAUCCGAGAAUUUGAAAUGACCAUAAUGAAAGAGUCUCAAACUAUCAAAGAUUAUGUUGAACAACUACUUAGCAUAGCAAACAAGGUAAGAUUGUAUGGUAAGGAAUUUUCUGAUGAAAAAAUCGUUCAGAAAAUCUUAGUAACUCUGCCUGAAAAAUAUGAAGCCACAAUCUCUUCCUUGGAAAACUCUAAAGAUCUGUCAAGUAUAUCUUUGGCAGAAAUUGUUAAUGCUUUGCAGGCCUUGGAACAAAGGAGAAUGAUGAGACAAGAAGGAUCUGUUGAGGGAACAUUUCAAGCCAAAUCACAAAACAAUGAUUUCAGAAAAGACAUAAAGAAAAACAAGAAGAACAACAAGUCAAGCAAUAAUAAAAAGAAUCAGAAAGGAGCCCAUCCACCUUGCCUUCAUUGCAAAAAAACAAAUCAUCCUUCACAAAAGUGUUGGUGGAGGCCAGAUGUCAAGUGCAACAAUUGUGGUCAAUUAGGCCAUAUGGAGAAGGAAUGCAAAACACAACAAGAAUGAGAGAUCAAGGUUGCAGCUGCUGAUCAAUAUCAUGAAGAACAGUUGUUUGUUGCCACCUGUUUUUCCAGCAAAAACACGUCUGAAAGUUGGCUCAUAGACAGUGGUUGCACAAACCACUUAACUUAUGAUCAAGGGCUUUUUAAGGAACUUGACAAAACAACCAUUUCCAAAGUAAGAAUUGGAAAUGGGGAAUACAUCUUAGCAAGGGGCAAAGAGACUGUUGCCAUUGAAAGCCUCUCAGGUUUGAAACUUAUCCCUGAUGUUUUAUUUGUUCCUAAUAUUGAUCAAAAUCUCUUGAGUGUUGGGCAGCUACUUGAGAAUGGUUUCAAGGUGCUAUUUGAGGACAAGUUCUAUAUGAUCAAGGAUGGAAAUGGAAAAGAUGUGUUCAAGAUCAAGAUGAGAGGCAAAAACUUUGCCUUGAAUAUGAUUGAGGAAGAGUAGGUUGCUGUUUCUCAAGAAAAUAAUGUCACAGCUUUAUGACAUAAGAGAUUGGGGCAUUUUCAUCAUAAUGGAGUGCUCUACAUGAAGAAGAAUCAACUUGCAGUAGGUCUACCUGACCUGAAGCAAAAUCUUCCUACUUGCGUAGCUUGUCAGUAUGGAAAACAAUCCAGACUUCCUUUCGCACAGAAAUCUACAUGGAGAUCAUCACACAAACUGCAACUUGUACACACUGAUGUUAGAGGACCUCAGAGAACACCAUCUUUGAAGGGUAGUAAGUACUAUAUUGCCUUUAUAGAUGAUUAUACCAGAUAUUGUUGGAUUUUUUUCCUAAAUUUUAAAUCUGAGGUUGCUGAUGUAUUUUGGAAGUACAAGGCUCUAGUAGAAAACCAAAGUGGUGCCAUCAUACAGGUUAUAAGGACAAAUAAUGGCACUGAAUAUACUUUUGAAAGAUUCUAACAAUUUCUGUGAAGAAGCAGGCAUAGAGCACCAAUUGACUGCACCUUACACACCACAACAGAAUGGAGUGGUGGAGAGGAAGAAUAGGACUAUAAUGGAGAUGUCAAGAUGCCUUUUGCAUGAGAAAGGGCUACCAAAAAAGUUCUAGGCUGAAGCCGCAAACACUGUAGUGUUUCUACUGAACAGACUCCUAACCAAAGCUUUGAAAAAAAGACUCUUUUCGAGGCUUGGUUUGGAUAUAAACCUCUGUUGUUAAACUUAAAAAUAUUUGGUUGCCUUUGUUUUUGUUAUGUGCCUCAGGUGAAACGGGACAAGUUGGAUAAAAAGGCAGAAGUCGGGAUUUUUGUAGGAUACAACAGCCAAUCAAAGACUUAUAGAGUCUAUAUGCCUCAUGCUGACAAAGUCAUUGUUAGCAGAGAUGUCAAAUUCAUGGAGGAUGAUAAAUGGAGUUGGGAUGCUAAAAAAAAUCAGAAUUUUAAGUUUCUUGAUGAAAAUAUUGAUGACAUUCCCUUAAGAGGCACCAAAUCACUUUCUAAUAUUUAUCAAAGGUGUAAUGUGGCUGUGUUUGAGCCUGUAGGUUUUAAUGAAGCCGUUGAGGAUAAAAAAGGGAGGGUUACAAUGCAGGAGGAACUCAACAUGAUAGAGAAAAACAACACUUGGGAGCUAGUUGACAGACCAACACAUAAAAAGGCCAUUGGUGUCAAGUGGGUUUAUAGAACCAAACUCAAUUCUGAUGGUUCUGUAAACAAACAUAAAGCCAAGUUGGUUGUCAAAGGUUAUGCUCAAAUGUUCGGUGUGGAUUUUUCAAAAACCUUUGCACCUGUAGCAAGGUUGGAUACAAUAAGGAUGUUGCUAGUUUUGGAUACUCAAAAGGGUUGGAAAAUCUAUCAGCUAGAUGUAAAAUCAGCUUUUCUAAAUGGCUACCUUAAGGAGGAAAUCUUUGUGGAGCAACCUGAAGGAUUUGCAGUAAAAGACAAAGAAGACAAGGUUUAUCAACUAAAGAAAGCCUUGUUUGGCUUGAAGCAAGCCCCUUGAGCUUGGUACAACAGGAUUAAUGUACAUCUGCUUGGUCUGGGGUUUAAAAAAAGUCAGAGUGAAUCCACACUCUACAUUAGAAAAAUUGAUGUUGACAUACUUAUUAUUUCAUUAUACGUUGAUGAUUUGCUUGUAACAGGAAGCAAUCAAUGUUUAAUGGAUAAAUUCAAAGCUGAAAUGGAGGAGGUCUUUGAGAUGACAGAUCUUGGAGACAUGUCUUAUUUAUUGGGAAUGGAAGUGCAUCAGAAUCAGCACGAGAUAUUCAUCUGUUAGUAGAAGUAUGCAAAAGAAAUUCUAAAAAAGUUCAAGAUGGAGGAAUGCAAGCCCACAACCACACCUAUGAAUCAAAAAGAAAAGUUUUGCAAAGAAGAUGGUGCUGAAAAAGUAAAUGAAGAGUUAUACAGAAGCAUGAUUGGAUGCUUGAUGUAUUUGAUUCCAACAAGGCCAGGUCUACUCUCAUGAUACAUGCAUUGUGCUAGUGAAAUUCACUUGUAGGCAGCAAAACGUAUUGUGAGAUAUAUAAAAGGCACUAUUGACUUUGGCAUUAAGUUCAAGUAGGUGCAGAAUUUUCAUUUUCAUGGAUUUUCUGAUAGUGAUUGGGCUGGCUACGUUGAUGAUAUGAGAAGCACAUCAGGUUAUUGCUUUAGUUUUGGUUCAGGUUUUUUCUCUUAGUGCUCUAAAAAACAGGAUAUCGUGACACAAUCCACAGCUGAAGCAGAGUACAUUGCUACUGCUACUGUUGCAAAUCAAGCACUUUGGAUAAGAAAACUCCUAACAUACUUAAACAUGGAGCAAACUGGGAGCACGCAAGUCUUUGUUGACAGUCAAGCUGCAAUUUCAAUUGCAAGUAAUCCAGUAUUCCAUGGCAAGACAAAGCGCUUCAAAAUCAAGUUUUAUUUCUUAAGAGAAAUACAACAUGAUGGAGAAGUAACUUUGAUACAUUGUAAAACAAAAGUACAAAAUGCUGAUAUUCUAACAAAAGCUCUACUAAGAGCUAGGUUUGAAUUUCUCAGAAAAAGACUUGGAGUUUGUAGCUCCCAAGUCAAGGAGGAGUGUUGAGAAAAAUGCCUUAGUAGCUACAAACAUGCUGGAAGACGUGUGAAAGUUGUUUUUGAAUUGAGGAAGCUUAGGAAUCUGUUAAGAAGGCUGUUGAGGUGUGAAGAGAUGCUGAAAUUGAGGCUGCAACCAUAAAACAACUUAGUCAAUGAACCUGAUAGAGUUUCAUGGAGCUGUUAUGCUGUUGUUGCUAUUUUAUAAGAAAUAGUUGUUAGUUCCAGCUAUUUUUGCUGCUUUUCUAUUGUUUUCUGUUGCAAACUUGUGUAUAAAUGUUGCAUUUAUCAUUCAAUAAGAGUAGACAUUUUCGUUGUCUCAUAUACAACUUUUGGUUGUUGCUUCCAGCACUUCUAGAUUCUAAAAUCAACAACUAGUCAGAGGCAUGUUUCGGUAUCAUUUGGGGUAUAAAUUAAUGGAUUUCAUGUUUCACCUUUAAUUUUCUAUUUCUUAAGUAUUAUAUGCUGUGACUUGUGAUGAUGAUGACUCCUAUCUUCUUUAAUUGCUUAAUCCUUCAUGACCUAUAAGCUAAAGUACAUAGCUGUUGUGGGACAUGGAAAAAAGGCAAAAGCUGGUGUGAUCUUUGUAAUUCAUCACUAGCAAUGUUCUGGAAAAUUCCAAUUAAAGUAAUAUUUGAUCAAUUCUUGCAGAUUAGGUACCCUAGAACUAAGAGCUUGAGCAGACUUGUCUAUUGCAUAAAGAGAGUGAAGAAGCUUAACAUAACGUCCUUCAUUCCUUUUAUUCAGAAUUAGGAAAUUGAAUGAGAACGAAUCAAGUUACAGUAUUCGUCAGGAUGUCAAGAUCUUUCUAAACUUCUGACUCUGCUGAUACAAACAAUGGGAAUUCCUCCAAUGAGAGAAGCACAGGAACAUUGUCAAUUCUAAGAAAAUGAUCCUAGUUUUGAUUUCUGAAUAGGGGACAUGAGAGUGAUCUAAGUGAUCAUCCCAACAGCAACACCAUGUAUACAGAAGACCUAAGAAAGACCAAAACAAGAACAAAAUGACAUCAAAAUUAGGAAAGAAACAAAUGCAUCAAAAUCAUAACAAAGAUGUUAUAUUCUUGUAUCCUUGCCUUUCAAAUGUGACUAAUUGCUAAUCUUUCACUUUAUGCAAGCAGAAGCAUAACAAACACCAUCUCUGGUAAAAUGCUGACUGCCAAACCAAUACAGAGCAACCUCAUUCAAACAUGACCAGACUUGACCAAUUCAGUACUAGAAACAUAGAAGCCAUUGUAGUAGCGUCCUUUCCAUCUCCCUGUUUAAUACCAGUUAAGGUUUUAGGCACUGAAAAAGAAGAACCUUCCUCACUCCACCUUCCAUCCCCAACAACCUUUGAAAUAAUUUUGUUACAAAUUUAAGUAACAAAUCCUUAUUUAUUGAAAAGCAUAAGCCAAAAGAAAACACACCUGUUUCAUUUUGGUUAGGUAUAAGAUAUCACACAUUUUGACCUCAUACAAUCCACAAAAUGAUGUAAGAACAACUUGUAAUUUGCAGAUUACGAAGAGCGUCUCCUUUGUUUUACCCUCAGAAAAUGGACCAAAGCAAUUAAAAUAUUUCUCUAACCAUAAAUGUGCCCAUGUAUGCUUAUGUAAGAGAAAAUCAGAAAUCAGCCUUGCCCAUUCAAAAGGUAAUGUAAUUGAGUCAUGGAGAAUAUAUAAGUGACUUUGUUUGGUAUGAGCUACUUGGGAAGAAAUCUUUGUUCAUUCUUGAUAUCUUUGUUCUUGAUUUGUACCAAACAAACAGAGCAUAAAAUUGACUUUUUGUUAAUCUAUAAUUCUUGAAUAGAGUUGAGAAGUGUAUAAAGAUUCUUAUAAUUGUCCAUGAGUAGAGCUAUUGUGAUUGUCCAAGGGGAGUUGACCUUGGGUGUUGAAAAUUACCAAUGAAAGAGUUGAGGGCAUGUAUCUUGGGUGUUGUCUUCCGUGGGGAGUCAUUGAAGAAAGAUCAUUACCAAAUGUCUAGUGAGAACAUCAUAUUGAAAGCCUGUAGUAAAUAUUAAUAAAUUAGUCCCUAGAAUAGAAUUAGAGGCUCAUGAGUAUAUGGAAUAAGACAAGUCACUCAUUCACUACUACAAAAAUUGUAUACAAUGAUGUUCACUUUCUUGGCGCUUUUAAAAAGUGUCAACAUUUCCAACCUACAAUGGUGCUUGCUAGAAGGUUGGGUAAUAAUAGCGCUUAUUGUAUAAAUUCUUGGCGCUUUAUAAAAGCGUCCUUAAAAAAUUCACUUUUUUAUAUCUAAGACGCUUGGUAAAGUGUCAUUUGUUAACAUAUUAUAUAUACUUCUUUCUGAAAUUUCAUCACACUGCCAAACAUGUCCCCGAACAAAUCAAGUUCCCUUUCAAACCCACCAACACAUAUCGAGCUCUCUUUCACUCUGAGAAGAACUUUCGUGCUACAACCAGAUAUUGAAGACCUACCGGAGAGUGUAUUUCAUGCUGACACCCACACCAGGGGCAGUCUACUAGCAAUUUCUUUGAAACACCUAUGACAACAAAUUGCUCCAUUAUUAAAGUCCAAGAUUCUAGCAAUCGACUAGAAAUCGAACUUACAAUGAGUGGCCAGUGAGCAAAAUCAUUCCUUACAAAAUCUGUAUGAAACAAAUCCACCAUUGCCAAGCUCAUUCUCUUUUAACACAUUUUCAUGGUGAAGACUUUCAAACUUUGUCUAAGGUCAGUAAAUAUUCUCUUCUCAUCCUUUCCACUUGAAGCAUUGAAGUAUUCUUAUAGUUUCUGUCCAACCCUAAUUUCGUUUUUGCUAGCCCUAACUAUUGUUUUACAACUAAUUAAUUAAUUUAUUUUUUAUUGUUCAGCCCUAACUAUUUUACCUUAUACAUACGAUUUGGCUUGAAUAUUUAUGCCAAAGAUGACAUGUUAGGUUAAUGCUCUAAAUUUUCUCUUAUUUUUCUCUAUAUCAUAUAAAACAUCUUAGGAUUUGAAAGAAUUUUAUAGUUUUCUCAGUAUUACUUUAAAUUCUUGAAUUUCCUCUCUAAGGUUUCCUAAUUCAUUUUUUAAGAUUUCAAUAGCAGGAAUUUAAUGCCUAUUUUAACUUUUGAAGCAAGAAAAACUAACUUUGAGUGGCUGGAUUGUUAAUAUUCAGAACUGAAGUCAGACAUGAAACUGAUGUUUGAAAUUUUCAUUUGGUGCCCCAUAUGCUAUAAAGGCAGUGGUUUACAAGGUUGGUUUGUGGUUCAAUGGAAACUUCGUUGGCUUGACUUUAAUAUAUCCUGGAUAGGCAUUUUUCUGUAAGUGUGGUUAUAUUUAGAUAAGGAUUGAUUUGGUGUGAAUGGGUUCACUUCAAAAUUUGUAUAUUUUUGGCUAAACCAAACCAACCAAGCUAUAAUUUUUAUUAUAUUUUAGAACUUGGAUCACUUAAAAUCAAGAAUCUUUAAGAAGAAAAGUUUGAUACCCUGCCAAAUGAUCUUAAAUUCUAAGGAUUUAAGUAGUUAGAAAAAUAAAUGAAUCUUAAGAUGUUUAAUAUUUGAUUAAAGAUAAUGUUAGUUUAAGAAGAAAUAUAUAAUGAUAACAUGCCUUCAUCAUAUAAUUUUGUUGAGAGAAAAAAAAUAUCUACAAAAAGCUAAUAAAAGUGGGGCAGAGAAUAUUAAAAUUUGUGAAUGGAUUGACAUGAUUGGGAACAAUUCUUAGAUUAAUGGUCUUGCUGAAUACAUAAUAAUAUUGGUAGGUAGUGGAAAACAUGCACAACUUGGGUGAGAACAUUAAAUUUGGUAAUAACCCUGCAUCACAAUCCCAAGCAACUCUACAAGGCACAUUAACAAGUGGCACACACUUUGUUUACCCACAAAUCAUGAAAACAUGCUAUAAAACUUCAUUGGAAAAAUCUUUGUUUUUAAUUUUUUUAUGACUUGCGUUUAACCCACUUGAAAUUGCAAUUGUUGAGGAAUCAUGACUUAGUCCUUGUUUAUGAAUACAUUAGAACCAGUUGGUCAACUGCAAUACUUUCACAAAAUGGUUUACAUUUGCCAAGUUCUAAAGUAACAUGAUAAAUUUAAUAUUUUUUUUCCUUUGAUUGAUAAGAUAACAAAAUUUGGUUGAUGUUGUUCAUUAUUAUUUUUUAAAUAUUCUUUUCCCUCAUGGAGGCUUACAGUUGGUUAUUUUUAUUUUUAAUCUCAUUCACAUUUUGUGUUUGUGUACUUACAGUCUGAUGCAUAUUUCAUUAUAGGAAAGAAAUGAAAGUUUGUUAGCUAAGUAGAAGGUUAAAGUUGUUUUUUUUAGAACUUUGAUUUCUGGUUAUUUCAACAAUUCCUAUUCAAUAGUGUGCUUGCCUUUUUCCAAGUUGAAUUUUUCUCUUAGAAAAGCAUACUAGAAAGUUGUAAUGGUUUAAGUACAAAACCUAAGUAGAGAACCUUGCUCUUGUUUUUGUAGUUGAAGAAUCAAAUAAUAGCAGUUUCAUCAUCAAUGAGUUAUCUUACAAUAGCAAGUUGGAGAAAAGAACCAUUAGGUUUGAUUUUAGCUCUUCUACAUCUAUGGUUAGUAGGAGAGAGGUGAGCCCUCAAAAUGAUGGUUGUGAACCUUUGGAGUCUCAAAAUAUGUCUAGGCUUGAAGAUGGUUCUGAUUCUCUGUCAUUUCCUGGCCAAGUUCAAAGUGGGCUCCAAGAGUUAAGUUUCUCUGCAGCAGGGUGUUUAUCAGUUUUGAUCAGUAACCCUGGGUAGAUAGCACAUUCUGGUAACAUCUCUUUGCCAUCAGACCACUAGUACUAGUUCCUUUGCCUUCACCAUGUUAAUCACUUACAAACUAUCUUUUCUAUCAUUUCCACUGUAUUGUCAGCUAACUUCUUAUUUUAAAAACUUUUCUAUCAUUUCAUCCUAACUUAAUUAGAUGUUGUUAAGUUAGUUUAUUUUUAGGACUUUGAUAGUCCCAUGUAAUGUCAACUAACCUCUUAGUUUAAAAUUGUUUCCAUUAUUUUCAUCCUAAAAUGUUGAAUAAGCUAGCGUAUCUUAUAUGUUGCACAACUUCUCCCAAGGGAAUGGAAACAUCAUGAAUAUCACGAGGCUGUCAAAAAUUGGUACAAGCACCUCCUUGAGGUUAAGUGUAUUUUCAAGUAAGAUUUUCAUAUAGAUUUAUAAAUGUUCCUUUAUAUUUUGUUUCUUGGAGAAAAAAAAAACAAAGGAAGGUACGUGUGUUCUUUUAAACUGGUAUUUCAUUGCUUGAGAAAAAACAGAGUAGGCUUGAGAAAAAAGUUGAGGUAUUUCAUUGCCCAGUUUAUAAGUAGUAAGAGGAUUGAAAAAAGGGUGCUCACAUGAAAGUCAUAUGCUUUUCAUGACUUAAUUUAAUUCAUAAGUCUCUGGAAUGGAUUUAAAAGUACACGAGCAUAACCACUUUGUCCUAGCCAUAUAUUUGUUCUGCAAUUAUUUGGGAUAUGUUCCUAGAAAGCAUACUACAAAAAUCUAGUUUAAAAGCCAUUAAGGAAAACAUGCUUAUCCCAAUUAGCUUCAUCAUCUUUCUAUGUUUGUCUCCAUCCUUUAAAAACUAUUUAAAUAAGUGUGAUUUUAUCUUUUUAAUGUUGAUGUGCCUUGUAUAAAUAGGCCUCAACCUGUCAACACUUCUCAAUGGGAAAAUGAUAGGGUUAUAUCUAUUCGAUUUAAUCCUAAAGAACCAGAUGUCUUGGUAGCUUCCAAAUCAAUUACUAGUUUCUUUAUUUACUUAUUUCUUGAUUGUUUUGGGAUAAGAAAUGAGAAAGUUAAUUGAUAAAAUAGAAAAGCAACUAUAAGAAAAGAUAGGAAGCCUUCAAAACAAAGCAACCAAGAAUAAAUUCAAUAAAAACAUAAUACAAAGCAAACAAAGGAGCCAUCCAAAACCACUUAAGGGAGAAGAUGAUCUUCUCUAAAAUUCCCAAUAUUUGACCUCUUUUUGCCAAGAAUUCAACAUCCUAAUUGGCUUACCUAGGAAUUCAACUGUAACUUACCCCUAGAAUCUCUCUCAAGUAAUGACAUACCAUUAAGAACCCUUAUUUAUUGAGGUGGCCCAAGAAUUGACCACUAAAGAAUCUACUCUCAAUAAGCAUGUGUCUGAACCCUAUGGUUCAGGCCUCUUUGAAACUAUGCAUGCAAGAAAUUAUGAUUCAAUAGACUAAGCAUUUCUCUUUGGCUUACAUAUUUCACAAUAAUCACCAGCCCUUCACUGCUACUGUAAGGUAAAUAUUACCAGAAAACCUUUUGCAUUAGGCUUGCAGUUGUACUAAUUACUAACUGAAUCUUAAUUUUGUUGCUAAUAAACUAUAGACAUUGACCAUAUAAUUUAGGAUUACUGAUUGAACUAGCUAAGUAUUCUCCCCAUCUUGAUUAUCAUGAUUCCAAUAUAAAGGAAAUAAUUCAUAGCUCAAAUUUCCCCUUUGAAUCAAUAUGCUCUACUUCAUUUUCACACUAUAGACAGUUUUUUGAUCGAAAAAAAAACUUACCCUCUAUUUUUUUUUUUUUGACCAAAAAAAAAACUAACAUAGGAAUCCUCUAUAAUAAUAAAUAAAAAUAAAAACUUAACAACAAUAGCUGAGGGGCAUGGGAUUCCCAAAAUAAGACUAGUUUGAAACCCCUCUCACAUCAAUUUCUGCCUUUAGGCUUGCUCUGACUAUGGUAGCCUAGAUGUAUGGACUUCCCAAAACAAGACUCUGGAGCACUUGAGAACCUCUCACAUAAAUUUCUGCAUCCAACCUUACCUCACCUUGGAAUUGAGUGAAAGAACAAAACCUCAAACAGUAUCUGACUAGAGCAAAUAUUUUCACAAUGCCAAUAAGAAGAAUGCUCAUUCUUGGUAACUCAAAUUCAUAGGAGUUUGAAACUUUGAAUAUAUAUAGAUGGGAAUCCAUAUGUAUAGAUAGAUAUAGAAACACACACAAAUAUGGACAUGGAAAUGUUGAAGAAUCACUCUUUCUAAUUAAGAAAUUUACAACUACUCUAUCAUUUUACAUUAAUAGCCUCCAGACAAAAUUUUGUUAUUAAAAAAACAUGCAUUAGUUAGAGGAUUUAUACCAUUUCUUUGGCUUUUAACAACUUCUCAGUGGUGGGUGAUUCAACCAUAGUUAUGUCUCAAGUUUCUUAGAAAAUUUAGGCCCUUGGAACUGGGGCAAUUGGUCGUCCUUGUCUUCUGCUGGUUCAGUUGUAUUUUGUUGAUUCAAUUAUAUUGUUAGUUUUCUUCUUUAAGAUAUGGUCAUCCCUUACGUCCUUUUUUUAUCAUUAAUUAAUGGUUUUUGUUGUUCAUGAUCAGAAAGAGAGAAGGAAAAACAAAUAAACAUGGUUUCACACAAAUACUGUUAUGUUUCUCUUAUGGAGCAUUUUAUAUGCUAAUUUUCUUAGUUGAAACCAAAAAUUAUUUGGUAGUUUUAUCAAUUUUAACGUAUUUUCCUUUUCUAAUACAAACUCUAACAUAUAUUUUCUUGUUGCAGACAAGAACUAAUUCCAUUUCUUGGAAUCCAAUGGAACCCAUGAAUUUCACAACUGUAAGCAUAAUAAUUCAACUUAUACAUUUCUCUGUUUUUCUUUUUCCCCACUUCCUGUGGUAGUUUAUCAUUUGUAUUCAAUUUGAUGAUGCACUCUCCUCUAUAGAUGGGUUGUUGCAAUUAAGAUUCAUAAUUUUCUCUCUUUCACUUUGCAUUGCCAAGAACCAAAUGAAAGAGGAAUGAUUAGUUUUAAUAUAAUAUUGUAUUGAUUCCUUCAAAGAAAUUAAGAAUCUAGUAAAACUUUGUUUCAGGAAAUUUUUGAAAGUUCUGUUUUGGAUUUAACUCUUCUAAAUUCUAAGAGUUGUUGAUUCUUGAUGUCAUUCUUUUAAAAAAAUUUCAACCAGUCCCAAGUGAGUUGGCAGAUCAAGAGCAUAGAUAUUGUGAUGCUUUUGUCAAUGACUCAUUGUUCUAUUUUUUUUUUCUCUCCUUUGGACAAAUCGCAUGAUUUUAUUAUGAUAGCACAUAAACUAUUUUAAUUAAAGCAAAUAAUAUUAGGAUGGUACAUAGCUUAGUAAUAUUGGAUUUCAACUUCUAAUGUAAUCAAUGCCAACUGCAUUUCUUUAACAACUAAGGUGCGCAUUUACUUUAUUUUUGUUCCUUUCCUUCAAGGAGACCUAUCUUUUCUUGAAGUCUAGACUAGACAUUAAUUUGACUCUAGAUAGAGUUGAAUGACAGAAAAAAAUUUGUACAAAAGACUUCAAUUUGUUAGAGUUUAAGGCUUGUUUUGCCUAGUUUAUUUAUCUAUUUAUUUGACUAGAAUUAUCAAGUUUAUUUUUUAUCUAUAAUAUUUGUAUGCAUUGAGCCAAAGUAAGAUUCAUGGAUAUUGUUUCGCUGGUCCAAUGAUGAGUACACAUCCUUGCCAUCUUUUAUACGAGACUUGUUUUAAAUAAGUCCGUUUUUUAAUGAAGAUGGAUAAUGUUGUUAGAGGGGUAAGAUGUCGAAGCCCGUUGCUGUCCAAAGACUUGAGAUUCGGAAGAUUAGAUAUGUGAAGAGAGGUAAGUGUGGAGGGCAGUAGGGACUCAUUGGGAAAUGAUUCCAUGUCUUGGCAUCCAUCAUUGAUUGUGAAUUUUGUAAGAGAGGCCAGUCUUUGCAAACCCCAGUCCACCUGAGAUGUGAGUUGGUUGCAGGAUAAAAUUGCAACUUCACGCAGGUCGGAGGGCAAACCAUCUCUCUGAAACAACAAUUCUGGACAAUCUAUUAACCUCAAUUCCUGCAACGAUGAGUGUGUGUGCGCCAGCAACUUCAGCUUCCUGCAACUGGAGAUCUUAUAGCGUGCAGACUCCAGAGCAGGCAAUUCAAUAUAUUCAAGAUCAGGGUACUCUUUGAUUUCCAAACUAUUUAGAGACGUGGGAUCCCCCUCUGAAACGGAGAUGGAGAGGAAUUCAAGCCCUUCGAAAUUAGAGAUGUAGAGAUUGUUCAACCGUGGAAAGAUGCUUAAUGAGAAAGAUAAUGAGAAAUAAUUACGGCUGCUAACAGCAAGAAUAGAUAAAUGUUCAAGGAAUGGAUACGGCAUUCCUUGGUACACUCCCGUUUGGUACACUCCCAGAUAAUUAGUGACUUCAAUGUAGUGGGUAAACCAACACUGUGCAAGGGUCUGGAGAAACGACAACUUGUGAUGCGCAAAAGUUGGAGAAGACAAGUGCUUCUUCGUAGCAUUCCCUCCUCCAAUACCCACUCUAUCGAAUCACAUUCUCUGAUUGUUAGCAUCUGUAUUCGUGGUGGCAGUUCUUCAAAUUGAGAGAUGUCUGAAAUUUCAAUUUCUGAAGUUUCGAGAUCAGUGAACCCACAAGCUGGCCUUUUCAACCGAAAUUUACCAUGAUACGACAUUUUCCAUCCACGGAUUUGAGGAGCUUGGAGGGAGCCAACAAGCAACUCACAACCAAUUAUUACAAGUUUCUUCAAUGAACGAAGCUGUUUUGGUAAUUUCCCAGUGAGUUUGGGACAUUCAUUUAUACAAAGCUCCUGAAGACGAGGGAAUUCUCCACGUCUGCAUCCACAACAUAACCAUUUCUCCCAGUUGUACAUCUUCCCGAAUCUUAGAGUUUGUAGGGACGGGAAGGAGGGCUUAAUUGUGUUGGAGGAAGAAGCAUUUCCCAUAAAAUUCAUUACCCACCAUUUUAACUCCUUUCAUUUCUAAGAUAGAAAGAUGUUUAAGAGAGGGUAGCUGUCCGAGUGGUGGCAAUGACGAGCAAUUAUUACAAUUCUGAAGCCCCAGGUCAACAAGAUUGAAGAAUGAAGGAUCCUACCCAAUCUGGAAGGCUUAAACCACUAAAAGAAUUAAUAUGGAGUCUCUUGAGGUUUGUAUGUGGCUGUAAGCUGCUGAGUAUAUCCAUUCUACUUUGCACAACACCACCAACAUCAGUGUUCUCAUAAUCCAUACUCAAACUCCAACUCAUCAAGGUACUUUUUAUCCUUCAUAUUAGCUUCUAAUGCAUCCCUAUCACAUACAACAUUCUGCAGCUUUGAAAUGACAAGACUUCCCGAAAGCUCCCUCAAUGCUCCCAAUCUUAACCCACCAUUUUGGCCCACAAUAAAUGUAGAAAGUGAUUGUAAAUUCUUUAGCUUACAUAUAUCACUUGUCAUCUCUUUCACCAAAGUUUAACGAAUAUCAAGGUAACGCAAAUUAAUCAAUUUUUCCAUCCUUGAGGGUAAUUCAACAAGACAAUGACAUCCCAAUAACAUCAAUGUUUGUAAAUUGUAUAAAUUACAAACCGAUUCAGACAACAUUUGAAUCCUUGUCAUAGAGAGAUCUAGGUAGCGCAAGUGUUUCAACUUCUCAAUUGAAUGAAGCAAAUCAGUAAUCCAAUAAUAAUUCAAGCACAACACUCGUAAACAUUUCAUUUCCGGCAAUAGAUGGUGUAGAACUCUAUUACUUAAGUAAUGAAGUGAAAAGUAUCGAUAUUUGUUUCUUGGUAAAAAUGUUCGGAGACACUUAAUUUGAGAAAGUGGAUCAAAUCUCUUAUAGACAUCAUAUUUAGUAAUCAAAUAUGAUAAAUGACGAGUUUUCUCCAAGACUCUGUAUAUCUUACCAUCCUCCAAAGAAGUAGAAAAUUCUCCGGAUACCAAUUGUGCCAAGUCAUUAACGAGGUCGUGCAUUACAAAAACAUGACUUAUUUCUUAUUGAAUUUUGGAAAAAUGACUUUGAUAGAAGUUCUUGAAAGUACAAAUUACCUACCUCUUCCAUUCUUUUCUUGUUUUUUGAUUGUUCCAACAAACCUUCUGUCAUCCAUAACAAAACUAGCUUCUCCUUUUUGAAUUUGUAGUCUUUUGGAAAGAUUGAACAAUAAGAAAAACAACGUUUUAGAUGUGAAGGAAGGUAAUAAUAACUCAACCUCAGAGCAGGAAGAACAGCAUCUGUGGGUAAAUCCCAUAAUUCACUAUUUAAUACAUCAUCCCAUUCUCUUGCUUCAACCUUGGAGUGUUGGAGACUCCCCAUUGCUUUUAUAGCCAGCGGUAGACCUUGGCACUUGUGGACAAUCUUUUCUCCGAUUGCUUCUAGUUGUGGAUGCCCACUUGAGUUUCCAUUUUCAAAUGCAAGUUUUUUGAACAGGGACCAACCAUCUUCAGAGGAUAACCCACCUAAACAACGAGUAUGGACUGCACGCAUGGCAAAUGCAACAUUGGUGCUUCGCGUAGUUACAAUAAUCUUGCUUCCCUUUGCCCCGACUAUGAGUGGAGUUUGUAGUGUAUCCCAGUCACAAGAGUCUUCGUUCCAAACAUCAUCCAGUACAAGUAAAAAAUUCUUCAUAUUAAUUCUUUCCUUCAGUUGAACCUGAAGUAGAUUUAGAUCAGUGGUAUUGGACGUGGAUGAAUUGAUUGCCUCGAGAAUUGUUUUCUUAACUCUGAUAGGAUCAAAUUCUUCGGAAACACAAACCCAUGCCUUGAUUUCGAAGUGUUCCUUCACCCUUUGGUCAUUGUAGAGCAGCUGGGCAAGUGUGGUUUUUCCCGUGCCACCCAUGCCGACUAUGGAGAUCACACCCAUCGCAUCAGUACUCCUUGCAUUAUCAGACAGCAACAGUUGAACCAUCUCCUCCUUAAUUUGAGCCCUGCCAUAGACAAGAGAUUCAUCUCCCAAAGAAGUAGAAGGCCACCUUUGUGCCAAUUUCUCACCAACGCCUUCUUUCAACCCGAGGACGUCUCUGUCUUGUGCGAUAUCGUCUAGUCUACCAAUGAUCUCCUCCACCCUAGAGUUUAUGCUUUGAAUAUCAAGUGGAGGAUGAACCCAGGUAGACAUGCUGGUCAGGGUGUCCGCAGCUUCUAUCUUGCAUCGUAGAUCUUCAGUGGCGAUCUCAUCCAAUACAUCCUCAGCAUCAUAGACAACAACUUUGAGCUCAUGCAUCCACUCUUUGACUGCUGGGUUUGUAAUUUGCUUGGCCUCCGCAUCAUUGAGCACAGCAUGGACAGUCGCAGUUUCCUCUUCAACUUCUUGAGGAGUGCAUCAUCGAGCUCGUGUCCCCUGAUGAAUUUCACCACCUCGCGAGAAGCCAACCUGUCAAAUAGAACUUGUAGAGAAGCUGAGAGAAAAGCACCUCCAACCAAAGCCGCAGCCAUGUCUGUUUCUUUGCAAAGGAAGUGAAAGGCGAAUGAGGGAAAAUGAAGGUAAGCAGAUCCAAAAUGGAACCCCCAAACCAGAAAAAGAACAAUUCAGUUGUGUAUUAAGAUCUUUUUUGGCUUUUUUAUCCUCAUAUUCUUUAUGGAUGGGGACUUGUUCCUAAACAUUUGAAGUGAACUGAUCCAUUUUUUACCAUAAUCCUUUGAAUUAAUGAUUCAUCAUGGUAGAGGUCUAGAUGGUUUCUUGAGGUGUGCUCUUUCUUUGUUAAUCUGGGGUUCUAUUUUAUCUUGUGGCAAAAUAAAACAGAUGUGUCCAACCAGUUCGGAAUUAUUUUAAUAUGACUAUCAAAUCUGUGGAUGUGCAAAAGCAUAACCAGGCUCUCCGAGUUCUUUGCCUGGAGGGUUUGCAUUUGUGCUAAACAAAAUGAUUUUUCAUAUCCCCCUAUAAUUGAUGAUCUGUUGGGAUUUGCAUAAUGUUUUGAUAGGCAAAUUAGAUAUAUGUGAAUGAGCGACCUAUCAAAUAGGGCAGUAGGGACGUAAAAUAUUGUGAUUCGAUCAAUCAUGCCUACCUUCAUAGAUACAAGAUAACAUUUCACUAUAUGAUAGAAAAUAUUAUAGAUGAUAUAAAUAAUUACAACUAUUGGAUUUCAAAAUAUUUUACGUUUCCCCACUCUUUGUAUUUUCAUCCUAAAUCAUGAGCUAUUUCACUCCAUCCGGUGUCUCCCACUUUUUCUCGUAUCUACACUCUAAACCGUAAGUCCUCUUACUCUAUCAAAUGUCUCUUACUCCUUUUCACAUCUCUAUCCAUGAUAUAUAAUCUUUGCAAACUUACUUCUAUCAUAUCUCUUCUCAUAAAUUUUUUUAACUUGAUCAUAGCCUAGAAUAUUUAGAGAGAUGCUCCUAUUUGCUUUACUUAUUCUAUAAAGAAUCUAAUUACAAUCACAUAUCAACUUAGGAAAUAUUUUAUAUAAUAUUCCUCUUUGACUGCUGGAUUUGUAAUUUGCUUCGCCUUGGCAUCAAUGAGCAUGACAUGGACAGAUAAUAGUUUUCUCUUCAACUUCUUGAGGAGUGCAUGAUUGAGCUUGUGCACCGUGAUGAAGUUGAGCAACUUGCGAGAAGCCAAGCUAUGAAAUAGAACUUGGAGAGAAGCUUAGCGAAAAGCACCUCCAACCAAAGCCCCAUCCAUGUCUGUUUCUCUGGCAAAAGGAAGUGAAAGAUGAAUCGAGGGAAGAAAAUAAGCACACCCAAGAUGAAACCUCCAAACCAGAAAAGAUCGGUUCAGGUGAAGUUUCCAAUGGUUGAAUGAAUUAUUGGACACCGUGGUAGAGCCCAGACUUCUGCAUUGUUGACAAAACAUCACAGUUCAGUGGUCCAUGAAAUGAAUACAAGGGAGAAAGAAAGAAAGAGAAAGGGGAUGUAAACAAAAGUCAGACAUGCAUAUGUGAACUUACAAAUCCUAUAUCCUUUUAUUAAUAAAACAGUUGAAAAUUUUACCAUAUUUAUAUUAAAUCAUGAUAAGAAUAAAAUGUAAAUUUAUUAAUAUUUUUAUUUUAUUAGUUCGUAAAUUAUAAUAUUUAAUUAUUAAAAAAUAUAUUAUAUGUCAAGAAAAGAAUAAGAUUUAAAAAAAAAAUUACAUGAAUAUUCAAUAUAUUCAUUUAAAAUAAUUAGUGUUAUUAAAAAAACCAUGUUUCAGGGUGAACCUAACCUAUUUUUAAUUUUUCUUUCUAGAAAAGCAUGUUUUUACACAUAAAUUCCAAAGCCAGACAACGACGUGUCUUUGAAUUUUCAAAUAAUUGGGAUCCACUGCUUUCAAUGUUUGAGAAAAUAAUAACAAAAGAUGGAGCUGCCACUUCUAAUGUCUGAGGGUAAAACAUGGAAUCGACUGCUACUUUCACAUUAAAGGGGAAAGCAAAUGGGGGCAUCGUACAUCUAAGAUCUUGUUGAAUAGUAAUCUAAAUUGUCUAUCACUCCAAAGCCGCACAUGAUGGAGGGUAUUAAAAGCAUAAUAUGCAUAUUAAAUUUAAAUCAUAAAAGUUUAAACUUUUAGAAAAAUUGGUUGUUUAACAAGGUCGAUAGCUCAAGUGGUUCUCUGUCAAUUUAAAUGAUGAGAUUGUUCAAUUUUUCAAUGGUAGGAUGAUUAGUUAAUAGUCCAAGAAGUUGAAUUGUCCAAUUGGAUUCUAUUUUCAAAACCUUGACUAUUAAGCAAUCACAUGCAAUUUCUAGAUAGAUUGUGAUUCUUGUAUUAAAGUACAAUAGAAUUGUUAGUGCAUAAAAAAUUUUUAUAUGUAGAUAUUAUCGAACAUUUUCUAACAUUUUCAAAAGUUAUUUUAAGGGAUAAAAUUCUAUUUGAAAAUGAAAAUAUGAAAAAUAGUUUUAUUGGUUUAUUUUUCAUAAAAGUACUAUAAUUCCAAAAGUUUUCAAAGUAUUUUACAUCUUUUCGAUUGUUACUCACAAUUCAAGCAUGCAUAAAAAAUAACUAAAAACAUCUUAAAUUUGUUAUAAAAACUUAUGUUUAGAAUAAAUUCUCAAAAAAAUAUUUUUUUUUCAACAAAAAAAGCUUUAUGAAAAUAAAAAGCUAUUUUCAAGAACCAUUACCAAGCAAGCCUAUGUUGCUGUGGAUGCUUUGGACAAAAUAAGAAAAAAAAGAAAAAAAGGUUUUUUUUUUAAUACUAUUUGAAAUCAUAAAAAGACCAUAACCUUGCAUACAAUAUAUGGGUCAAGGCCUUCUAAAAUAAAUAAUUUAUUUUUAUUUGGUCAUUCAUCACCAUUUUCAUUGAUUGAAAUUAUUUCGUAGACUUGGUUGUUGACUUGGGAAUUCACAUCAACCCAUAUGGACCUCAUAUUCACCUACCAGAGAUGAAUGAAAAUAAAGGCCAAAUAUGAAAGGCAAGUGGUGGUGGUAGGAAGACUCUUAUCAAUAACUUAUAUCAGGUACCGGAGCUUAGGGCAACUGUAGACCAAUGUCAUCCUGAAUCCUAUCAAUCCUUGUUACUGACUGUUGGGGUUGUCACUUAAGAAAAUAUCAAUCAAAUGAUGCAUUCGCAAAUCUAAGUCUCCAACAAGGUUCAAAUUAUUAUUAACAUCACAACCAUUAUUAAACCCAUGUGCAAGCAAGAAGGCUGCUCGUGCGGCUAGGCGUUCACAGGGUUAGCCCAAUUUGUUGAAUCUAUAGUUUAACAUACAGACAUUCGUUUCACAUCAUUUGAUGGCCCUUUAUAGAUUAUCUAUAAAUUCAGAGUACUUAGGAUUUGAAGGCCGCGAAGGGAAAAAGGAUAGUGAUAAAGAACGAACCAUUGUUGGACCUUGAGAAAUAUUUUGUGGGCACACUGUUCCAUCAUUUGGCCUCAACCAAAAUCUUCAACAUGUCAAAGCCAUGUUGUACAAAAUUCCUUACGGGUUAAUAUUUGUCGACACACUUCUGCCAUGAAUAUAUAAGCUGAUGGUAUUAGAGCUCUCCACAUUAUUGAGACAAAUGGGCUCCUGCCUUGAAACAGUUGAAUUUUCCAAGAAAAUGAAAAUUUAUCCUAGUCAAGUUCCAAUGACCCAUCCUUAUAUUUGCUUGCUCAUUUUUCCAUUUUUGCAGUUUAUUCUUUUUCUCCUUAAUUUUCUAAGCACUAAUGGAUGCUAAUCUCAAAUAACGUAAAUGCAGCAUUCUUGUUUGCCAGACAAAUCCUCAUGAGUGAGCUAGCACUAGCCAACCCUGUGGAUAUGGAAAACAUUGUAGUUAGGUGUGGCGAACAAGUCUUAGAGCUCCUGGACCGUUCUGAUGAGGCAGGAAUUGAAGAAAUUGUUGAAAAUUUUCAAGAGAUGGUGAGGAAGCCUCCAACAGCAACAAGCUUCAAGCAAGGAAAGCAGUUAUGAGCAGGAUGUUGGUGAAGAGCCUGCACCCAUGCUUGAGAGAGUACCCCAUCUUGUUUAUUUGGCGGCCAAGAGGAGUGGUGCUUGCAGGGAAUGGCCCUCAAGGAAGAAAAUUAGCAGAAAUGGCACUAUGGCGGAUGGGAGCUGUUGAUCAGACUGAUAUCUUCUUACCGGGUUUCAUUUUCAUUAAAUUAAAUAAAAUGGGGGUAAUUCAUAAUCAUCCGGUUAAGAUUGAUCUAAACCAGUGCCUUUAUCCUUUUUUUAGGUUCAUUAGGGUUCUGAAUUGAAGUAAUAAUAUUAUUGAAUCAUCAGAACUAUUUCGAUAUUUCUUUUUUGGUUCCUAUACAUGGCAUCUUUGUGAAUCCAUACGACUUUCGUUCUUCCCCAUUUCUUUGUUCCGAACCAUUCGUUUCUUUGAAUUCUUCGCUCUUUUUCUUGAUUUCAUCCCUUUUCUAUAUUCAUUCAAUUCAUAGUCAUAGACGAAACGGAAGGACUUCUAUUAGAAAAGUGGUGGCAGCUACUAUAAUAUUAGUGGCAGCAGCCCCAUGGUGUCAGUUAAUUUUCAUGGGCAAUGGUAUACAUAUCUGACUGAUAACAUGUGAUUGGUUUGACCUGAAGAAGAAUGAAGUUAAUUAUAGGGUGGAAAGAAGAAAAUAAUGAACACACCUGUACAUAGUAGUGGCUGUACAUUUAGGAUAUAAAUUAUUGCAGUGUAUGAAGAUAUUAGGAGUUACUAGAUGCAAAGUUGGUUAGAACUAUUGUGAUUGUUCAUAUAUCAAGAUGGUCUGUGUCUUUGCCACUGUCUUCCAAGGGGAGAACCAUGGGGUACUGUUUCAUUGGGAAGAAAGAUCAUUUCCAAAUUUCUAGUGAGAAAAUCAAAUUGAAAGCCUGCAGUGAAUAUCAAUAAAUUGGUCCAUGGAAGAGAAUUUGAGGCUCAUGAGUAUAUAACAAGAGGACAAGUCACUUAUUAUACCUGGAGUGCUGCCUGGCACCAUUUCUUAUGACCAUAGGCAACAACUUUAAAGUUAAUUUGUGUAUAAGGACAUUUGAGACCAAUCUUAAUAUUAAAGAACAAGAUGUUGAACAUCAACAUCUGUCAAGGAUCGGAGUUCAGGGCAAGUAGAUAUGUCCUUAAAGGAUCAGUUAGAUUUCAAUCACAACUGACCUGAAAUUGGCUAGAUCAACACAUAUUUAGAGGUGCUUUGACUUCUUCUAUGUCCCUGCCUUAUAGGGAAGAAAAUAUUUAAAAAUCCACAUAAUCAUUGGUAAGUACAAGAAGACAUUCAACAGACAAAGAUUUUGAAUUUGAGGAACCAAUCUGUCUCUAGAAAAGUAAGGGGAGAAAAAACACUGAUAAACAAAUUUUACAUACCCUUUCCAGAGCAACAAAUCCCCUAAGUUGUAAGUUGAAUCCCACCAACCAGAAAAUCCCCUUGUUCGUCCACUUUAAAGAUCUAGCACGUACACACAUCAAGACUAUUAUAAGAUGCUAGUUUCCCAACAGUUUUUUGUAUCAUGAAGCUCUGAACCAUCUCAACCAAAAGGAUAUUCAUCAAUCUAAGGACAUCCAUCAAUCUAAUAGUUCAUCAUUAUUUGCAAAACACAGCUUUGCAUGAAACAAUGACACCAAACAAUAAAGAGAAAAGGACUACUGAGUCAGACAUCUGUUUUCCAUUGGAGGGGGUGCCUGACUCAAGAAGAUGGAGUUAAAGCGUGAUUGGAAUUGGAAAGGUCAUAACCACCUGAAAGAAAAUAAUCACGAAGACAUGGACAGAUGCACAUAAAAUGUGUGUAUCCAUCAACAAAUGGUUAAUUGAAAGGAAGACAUUAUUUUAAAACCAAAAGAAUUUUGGGUUUCUUAGCUUUGGUAGUAGCAUACCCGCCAUCUUCUUGUUUAAUACAAAUCAUGUUCCUAGCACUAAAACAGGAGCAUCUUCAGGCGCCUUUGCAGAAGCUUUCAGCACCAGUUAAUGAAGGUGACUCAUGAGGGAUGAUCAAAGGGCUGGCUGAGAUAUCUGAAACAGAAGACAUGUUUAUUAUUUGUCUGUGAAUAACUAGUCAGAGGCAUGUUUCGGUAUCAUUUGGGGUAUAAGUGAAUGGAUUUCAUUUUUCACCUUUAAUUUUCUAUUUCUUAUUUAUUAUAUGCUGUGACUUGUGAUGAUGAUGACUCCUAUUGUCUUUAAUUGCUUAAUCCUUCAUGACCCAUAAGCAAAAGUACAUAGUUAUUGCGGGACAAGGAAACAAGGAAAAAGAUGGUGUGAUCCCUGUAAUUCAUCACUAACAGAGUUCUGGAAAUUCCAAUUCAAGUAAUAUUUGAUCAUAUCUUGCAUAUUAGGUACUCUAACUAAGAACUUCAAUGAGAGCCAAGACUUCCUCCAAUGAGAAGAACAGGAACAUUGUCAAUUCUAAGAAAAGGAUCCUGUUUUUGAGUGGGGUACAUGACAGUGAUCUAAGUGAUCAUCCCAACAGCAACACAACGUAUACAGAAGACAUAAGAAAAACCAAAACAAGAACAAAAUGAAAUCAAAAUUAGGAAAGAAAUAAAUGCAGUAAAAUCAUAACAAAGAUGCUAUAUUCCUGUAUCCUUGCCUUUCAAAUGUGGCUAACUGCUGAUCUCUCCCUUUAUGCAAGCAGAAGCACAGUAAACACCAUCUCUGGUAAAAUGCUGACUGCAAAACCAAAACAGAGCAACCUCAGUCAAACAUGACCUAACUUAACCAAUUAAACACCAUCUUCUACUUUCCAUCUCCCUGUUCAAUACCAGUUAAGCUCUCAGGCACUAAAAGAGCAGCAUCUUCCUCACUCCACCUUCCAUCCCCAACAACCUUUGAAAUAAUUUUAUUACAAAUUAAAGCAACAAAUGCCUUAGUUAUCGAAAAGUAUAAGCCCAAAGAAAACAUACCUGUUACUUUCUGGUGGGUAUAAGAUAUCACACAUUUCAGCCUCAUACAACCUACAAAGUGAUGUAAGAACAACUUGUAAUUUGCAGAUUACAAAGAGAGUCUCCCCUGUUGUACCCUCAGAAAAUGGACCAAAGAAAUUAAAAUAUUUCUCUAACCAUAAAUUAGCUAAAAAAAAUGCACCCAUGCACCAGAUGUCACACACAACUGACCUGAACUUGGCAAGAUUGAAAUGGAAUAGUUCCCAAUGACCAGAAUUAAGAGGUGCUUUGAAGUCUUUCUUCUACAAAUACAAGAAGACCUCAAUAUGUUGUAUCAUGACAAUGUACGAGUGAAGGAAGGGGGCACAGUAGAAGAUGGUGGCAUCAAGUCAAAGGAUGAAAUUUGAGUUUGAGGCACUGGGCCAUUCCAGAUCAACACAAAUUGGACUUAAAAUAGAGACCAAAAGAAAUUGAAUGAUAGGCUUUUUGGAGGGAUCCCUUAUUCUAAUUUCAUAAAUUCUUAUAUUCUAAUUCUGUUUCAAAAUCAGAAAUGUAAAAUAAAUUCAUUUAAAUUAUUUAUAGUCACUUGAUAUAUUUCUCCUUAUCAAAACAAAAAUGUGUUUCUCAUAAGAAAUCUUUCAUGUUCUUCCUAGAUACUUAAUAUGAGACGGGAGAGGAGAAACGGUGAUUAACUUGAUAUGGAAGGGAGAAAAGAUACAAUAUCUUGAUUCUAAUUCAACUCCUUUGAAAAAAUAACUUGCAAAAGGCUCCAAAUAAACACCCAUAUAAUUCUAAAUUGUUUUCAUGCAAUGGUUAGAUCUAGAGUGUAUUUGUGAUGCAGGUAAAAUUCCAAGCACAUUUGACCAGAGAUACAAAUAGGCAAUACCUAAGGUAUUUGAAGAUGUACUAGUGUUUAAAUCACUGAUAUUCCAAAGCAAAUACAUAAACCUGCAAAACCUUUUUAGUCUUAAUAUUCAUGUAACUUAGAGGCCAAACAAGGUUAAUAAUGUCAUCAAAUUAAAUCUUUGGUAAUGGUACCUUUUUGUUAGGCAUUGCCUUACAAUAUGGAAAUGUUGCAAUUGUCCUUACAAAAUUGGCCUUUUAAGCGAAAAAUACACCAGCCUCAUAGCACCUGUAGAAUGAUGUGUAAAUGAUUGUAAGUAUGGCAGAAAGUUAAAUCUCCAUUUUUAAGGAUGGAAAAGGGAUCAACAAGUACAAAUCUAAAGUAGGCCACAAAAAAGAAAUAAAGAAAUUAAAAUGUUUAACUGACCAUAAACUACCAGAAAUUCCUCCAUGUUUGCCUGUAUCACAGAAAUAUAUGGAUAAAUUCAGGAAUCACCUCUGCCCAUUAUAAAGGUAAAUUGACCAAGCCAUUGAAAUAUUUCACUCAUCUAUGUUAAAAUGCAAGCACCUAUUGUCAGUCUUCCUCCACACCUCUUCACUUCUUUGUUUUCAGGCUUGUAGCAUAAGAGAAAAUAUCUGAAGUCAAAGGGCAGAAUUCUGCACCCUCAAAUCUCCAACAACAGGGCAGGAAAUAUUGACGCAGGGCAUAUUGUAAAUUUCCAAUGGAAUAGUCUCAGAUGUGUGUGUUUGCUUCUGCCUUUCCAGGGGGAGACUCAUGAAAUAUUGUUUGAUUGGAAAGAUCAUAGUCAUAUAUCAAGAACACAAGUCUCUGAUACGUGGAGGGCUACUUGGCACCUUGUCUGUCUCACCAUAGGCAAUGGAAUCUUACAAGUUUGUGUAUAAGGAGACUUGUGUUAACCUGAGAAACAUCAAUAUGUUACCACAAUAGAAAUGAUUAGAAAUUCAGACGCACAAGUUUGGCUACUUUAAUAAAUUGGCACGUCAGUGUUUCUUUUUUUUUUGGAGUGUAGGACAAGUACCUGACUGACUGUAUGGCACACCCAAGUCUUAAUGUAUGUGGAAUCACCACCUUCAUUAGUCACUAGUAUAGCACACGAUCUAUUACUAUGCGUGGAAUGUGAGCUAUAUAUUCCCAAUCUUGGCCUUUCUCAAAUUGGCACCUAUGCCUCAACAAAGGACAACUCUGGAUUUCCAGGAAAGAGAGCGAGUUUGGCAGUCUCUCGUUUGUCAAGUAUUGGAGAUUAUGGUAGCGGGAGAUAGACAAUGCUUUAAGAGAGGUGAGGUGUUGAAGACCUACUUCUCUCAAGGAUUCAAGCAUAGGGAGUGAGUACAUCUGUAAAUUUUCAAGAGAGGUAAGAUGUUGAAGCCCCUCUUCUCCGAAGGAUUGGAACUUAGGGCACUUGGAGAUGUAUAAUGUUGAUAGAGAGGUAAGAUGUCGAAGCCCGUUGCUGUCCAGAGACUUGAGAUUUGGAAGAUUAGAUAUGUAAAGAGAGGUAAGUGUGGAGGGCAGUAGGGACUCAUUGGGAAAUGAUUCCAUGUCUCGGCAUCCAUCAUUGAUUGUGAAUAUUGUAAGAGAGGCCAGUCUUUGCAAACCCCAAUCCACCUGAGAUGUGAGUUGGUUGCAGGAUGAAAUUUCAAGAUCACGUAGGUCGGAGGGCAAACCAUCUCUCUGAAACAACAAUUCUGGACAAUCUAUUAACCGCAAUUCCUGCAACGAUGAGUGUGUAUGCGCCAGCAACUUCAGCUUCCUACAUCUGGAGAUCUCAUAGCGUGCAGACUCGAGAGCGGGCAAUUCAAUAUAUAUCAGAUCAGGACAGUCUUCGAUAGUUAAAUAAUUAAGAGACGUGGGAUCCCUCUCAGAAACGGAGAUGGAGAGGAAUUCAAACCCUUCAAAAUCAGAGAUGUUGAGACUGUUCAACCGUGGGAAGAUGCUUAAUGAGAAAGAUAAUGAGAAAGAAUUACAGCUGCUAACAUCAGAAAUGGAUAAACGUUUAAGGAAUGGAUGGUGAGAUCUCAAUAGCGCAUGCAGGAGAAACUCCAGUUUGGUACACUUACAGAUAUGGAGUGACUUCAAUGUAGUGGGCAAACCAACACUGUGCAAGGGUCUGGAGAAACGACAACUUGUGAUGUGCAAAUGUUGGAGAAGACAUGUGCUUCUUUGUAGCAUCCCCUCCUCCAAUACCCACUCUAUCGAAUCACAUUCUCUGAUUGUUAGUAUCUGUAUUCGUGGUGGCAGUUCCUCCCAUUGAGAGAUGUGUGAAAUUUCAAUUUCUGAAGUCUGGAGAUUAGUGAACCCACAAGCUGUCCUUUUCAACCGAAAUUUACCAUGAUACGACAUUUUCCAUUCACGGAUUCGAGGAGCUCGGAGGGAGCCCAAAAGCAACUCACAAUCAAUGAUUUCAAGUUUCUUCAAUGAACGAAGCUGUUUUGGUAAUUUCCCAAUGAGUUUGGGACAUUCAUUUAUACAAAGCUUCUGAAGACGAGGGAAUUCUCCACGUCUGCAUCCACAACAUAACCAUUUCUCCCAGUUGUACAUCCUCUCGAACCUUAGAGUUUGUAGGGACGGGAAGGAGGGCUUAAUUGUGUUGGAGGAAGAAGCAUUCCCAUAAAAUUCACUACCCACCAUUUUAACUCCUUUCAUUUGUAAGAUAGAAAGAUGUUUAAGAGAGGGUAGCUGCCCGAGUGGUGGCAAUGACGAGCAAUUGUUACAAUUCUGAAGCCCCAGGUCAACAAGAUUGAAGAAUGAAGGAUCUCCUACCCAAACUGGAAAGCUUAAACCACUAAAAGAAUUAAUAUGGAGUCUCUUGACGUUUGUAUGUGGCUGUAAGCUGCUGAGUAUAUCCCUUCUAUUUUGCACAACACCAACAUCAGUGUUCUCAUUAUCCCACUCAAACUUCAACUCAUCAAGGUACUUUUUAUCCUUCAUAUUGGCUUCUAAUGCAUCCUCAUCACAUGCUACAUUCUCUAGCUUUGAAAGGACAAGACUUCCUGAAAGUUCCCUCAAUGCUCCCAAACUUAACCCACCAUUUUGGCCCACAAUAAAUGUAGAAAGGGAUUGUAAAUUCUUUAGCUUACAUAUAUCACUUGGCAUCUCUUUCACCCCGGUACCAAUAAUAUCAAGGUAACGCAAAUUAAUCAAUUUUUCCAUCCUUAAAGGUAAUUCAAUGAGAAGCACACAAUUUGAUAACAUCAUUGUUUGUAAAUUGUAUAAAUUACAAACUGAUUUAGGCAACUUUUGAAUCAUUGUCGUAGAGAGAUCCAAGUAGCGCAAGUGUUUCAACUUCUCAAUCGAAUGAGGCAAAUCAGUAAUACGAUAAUUAUUCAAACACAACACUCGUAAACAUUUCAUUUCCGGCAAUAGAUGGUGUAGAACUCUAUUACUUAAGUAUUGAUAUGCAAGGUGCCAAUAUUCGCCUCUUGCUAAAAAUGUUCGGAGAUACUUAAUUUGAGAAAGUGGGUCAAAUCUCUCAUAUACAUCAUAUGGACUAAUCAAAUACGAUAAAUGAUGAGUCUUCUCUGAGACUUUGUCCAUCUUACCAUCCUCCAAAGAAAUAGAAAAUUCUCCGGAUACCAAUUGUGCCAAGUCCUUAACAAGGUCAUGCAUUACAAAACAUGACUCAUUGCUAAUUGAAUUUUGAAAAAAUGACUUUGAUAAAAGUUCUUGAAAGUACAAAUUGCCUACCUCCUCCAUUCUUUUCUUGCUUUUUGAUUGUUCCAACAAACCUUCUGCCAUCCAUAACAAAACAAGCUUCUUCUUUUUGAAUUCGUAGUUUUUGGGAAAGAUUGAACAAUAAGAAAAACAACAUUUUAGAUGUGAAGGCAGGUAAUAAUAACUCAACCUCAGAGCAGGAAGAACCGCAUCUGUGGGCAAAUCCCAUAAUUCACUGUUUAAUACAUCAUCCCAUUCUCUUGCUUCAACCUUGGAGUGUAAGAGACUCCCCAUUGCUUUUAUAGCCAGCGGUAGACCUUGGCACUUGUGGACAAUCUUUUCUCCGAUUGCUUCUAGUUGUGGAUGCCCACUUGAGUCUCCAUUUUCAAAUGCAAGUUUUUUGAACAGGGACCAACCAUCUUCAAAGGAUAACCCACCUAAACAAUGAGUAUGGACUGCACGCAUGGCAGAUGCAACCUUGGUGCUUCGCGUAGUUACAAUAAUCUUGCUUCCCUUUGCCCCGACUAUGAGUGGAGUUCGUAGCGCAUCCCAGUCACAAGAGUCUUCGUUCCAAACAUCAUCUAGGACAAGUAGAGAUUUCUUCAUAUUAAUUCUCUCCUUCAGUUGAACCUGAAGUAGAUUUAGAUCAGUGGUAUUGGACGUGGAUGAAUUGAUUGCCUCGAGAAUUGUUUUCGUAACUCUGAUAGGAUCAAAUUCUUCGGAAACACAAACCCAUGCCUUGAGAUCGAAGUGUUUCUUCACCCUUUGGUCAUUGUAGAGCAGCUGGGCAAGUGUGGUUUUGCCUGUGCCACCCAUGCCGACUAUGGAGAUCACACCCAUGGCAUCAGUACUCCUUGCAUUAUCAGACAGCAACAGUUGAACCAUCUUCUCCUUAAUUUGAUCCCUGCCAUAGACAAGAGAUUCAUCUACCAAAGAAGUAGAAGGCCACCUUUGUGCCAAUUUCUCACCAACGCCUUCUUUCAACCCGAGGACGUCUCUGUCUCGUGCCAUAUCUUCUAGUCUAUCAAUGAUCUCCUCCACCCUAGACUCUAUGCCCCGACCAUCAAAUGGAGCGAGAACCCACGUUGACAUGUCCAUGAUGUUACCCACCUGACUUGUGCUGGUUUGGGACUCCGCAGCCUCCACCUUGUGUCGCAAAGCCUCUGUGGCGAUCUCAUCCAAUAUGUCCUCCGCAUCAUACACGACCUCUUUAAGCAAGACCAGCCACUUCUUCACAUAUGGAUUUGUAAACUGUUUGACCUCAGCAUCGUUGAGCACUGCAUGGACGACCAACAACUUCCUUUCCAACUUCUUCAGGAGCACAUCGCUGAGCUUCUGCCCCCGGAUGAAGCUCACAACCUCGCGAGAAGCCAACCUGUCAAAUAGAACUUGGAGAGAAGCUGAGAGAAACGCACCUCCAACUAAAGCCCCUGCCAUUUCUGUUUCUCUUGCAAAGGAAGUGAACGAUGAAUUGAGGGAAGAAGAAAUUACGCAGACCCAAAAUGAAACCUCCAAACCAGAAAAAGAUAGGUUUGUAUAGAGAAAAUGCAACUUGUUGGUAGUAAAAUAACUUUGGAUUCCAAGGUACUUUCGUGGAAGACCCCGUACGUCUGCUUUCUGCCAACAUCAUUGGUCAAUGAUUAAUAGUAUUGUUUCACUGGGCUUUUUUAAUGGUUGGAAAUGAUUUUCAUCCAUUGAGGUGCAAAUUAUAAUUAAUAGACUUGACAUUCACCAUGGUUAUCUUCAAUUUCUUUAGUGGAUUUGAAUACUAAUUCAUGGUGUGGGUCUUUUUUUAUUCUUUAUAAAAUUAUAAUAAAAAUGAUAACAUUUACCGUCCAAGGAUACAAUAUUUUUUAAAUUUCUUUUAUUUGGAUUUUCAAACAUAUACAAUUCAAAGGACAAAAGUAUGGAUGAAUGCACCUUUAAAAAUUCAUCUUAUUGAUAUGAAUCCAAAGGGACACUAGUUUGUAUAUAAGUAUAAAAAACAACUCAAUGCAUACACGAAAGGCACUAUUGGGCCAAAAUUCAAAGAAACAAGAGGAAACAAAUUGGCAAUGGCUUCUAUUAUGGAGAAUGGGAUCUAUGGGAUUUGGGUCAAUGAAUUUCAGAUGGACCCCGGGAAGCCAGGAAGCCUUCUUCACGCUUCCAAUUUUAUAUGAAUUUCCAUUAAAAGCAUUAUGGCCAGUUUGUUUUAAUGUGUUGACAGUCAAAGCAUGUGCCUUGUAACAUUGCGCAGAAUAUAAUAUUUUUCAUUCAGACUGUUCACAACUUGCUAAAAUCAAGAUCUGAUCUCAUACUCUCUCUUAUCUUUUAUUUUAUAAGUAUGAAAUCCAACCCUAUUAUAUUUAAAAUGGGGAGGUUCAAAUAAGUUGAUUGCCACCUUGUAGGUAUGUGACAUGCUAUGAUUGCCACCUGUAAAGAUUCGCCGUCUACUCAUGUACUCAACUGUGACCAAAGAUUCUUGAAGACACUUUUAAAACUUGUAAACGCAUUCAUCAAAAAGUUUAGCAUCUCACAAACCUUUAAAAAACCAAAAAAAAAAUGAUUUCUUUAAAACAGAAUUUCUACAAUGUAAUUAGAUUCUCAAAUUAAUCUCUUAUCUAUGUGAAUACCAAUGUCAUAAAAUGAUAAUCGGUAACUACGAUUUUAAUUUUUUUUUUAAAUGGUUAAAACCAUAAUUGAUAACUAUUGUUUUAAGAUUAAAUUGGAAGAGAUAUUCACCAACUAGGUUUUAUAUAUGUUUUAAAAAAAUUUUAAAGCCUUAGUAAUUAUGGUUUUGUGACAAAAAAAAAUUAAAAAUUAAAAAUUCUCUUGCAAUACGGAUACAUUAGUUUGGGAGCUAUUUUGUUCGAAGGUUUAGUUUGGGAUUUUUUUUAAAAUACAUUAUUUUUGCUCAAAACUCAAAAAUUCAUUUAAAGCGAUUUUUGGAUUAACAUUUGAUAAAGAAUUUUUUAAUUAUUUUUUUGCUAUUAAAAAUACUUUCAAGAUGCUUUUAUAUAUAUAUAUAUAUAUAUUUGAUUCUUAAUAAAAACAUUUAUGAUAUACAUAUUAGGUAAAGUGUUACAAAGACUAGUUUGUUGGUUAUUUGGAAGGACAUUUUGUAUAACAAAGGUGUUUAUGCCUGUUACACUAUAACAAUGUAUUAAUGAAUUAUUCAACUUUGGAUUUCAUUAUUGUGGUGGAUUUGUUUAACAAACUUUAUAAAUCAGUGGACAUUAAAUAAUUUUUUUUUUUUGUCAAAAAAACAAAAUAAAAGCAAAGAGCACCAAGUGGUAAUUAAAUAAUUAAAUAAAUUAAAAGAAAAAUAAAAAGAAGAUAAAAGAAUAGAUAAAGAGCUAAAACUUGUCCUUUACCCAAUUUAAAAUUAUAAUUUAAGUAGAUUCUUAUUUGAAAAAUCAUAACAAAUAUUGAAUUUUCAACUAAUAAUUAAACUUGUCGAAGACAUAAAAAAUUUUAAUAGAUUAAAUUGUGAUUAAAUUAGUCUUCAGAAUCAUAAUUUUUUAAUUCAACAAAAAUUGGGCUUAAAUGGAAUGGGUCAUAUAUAUUAGACACGUAACAUGUAAUUAAAAGAUGACAUGUAAUGAAGUUCAGAGGGUUAUAAAAUUAAAUUUUGUAUAGAAGAGAAUUAUAAAUAAAUAUUCUUUUGUUGAGAAAUUCCCUAAAUAAGGAAAUGAAUUUUCCAAUUGUAGUGAAAAAGGAAUUAGAAAUAAAUGUUUAUGACAGAAAUACCAGUAAAAAGUGUAAUAAGAGUAAGUAUUUAGUUAUUUGAAAGGGCAAUUAGUAUAAAAAGGGGUGAUUAUGUUUGUUUAAUGAUUGCAACAUAAAAUUGAAUUAUUGAACUUUGGGUUCCAUUAUUGUGGUGGGUUCAGUGGACUUUAAAUAAAGUUGAUAAAGGAUUUGAGACACUAGGGCAACAAUAUUUUGUCAAACAAAAAAUAAAGAUCGAGGUUAGUUUAGCUUAUCAAAGAAAAAAAAGACUAAUACGGUGUUUGGUUUUUUGGCUGAAUAAAAAAAGCCAAAUAUUUGGCUUUUUCUAUUCAGCCAAAAAACAAACACCACCUUAGUUAGACAUCAGUUUUCCAUUGAAGGUGGUACCCUAAGAAGAUGGAAUUAAAAAGUGAUUUGAGUUUGAUGCUUUACUUCUUGGUGACAUGAUUCUAAAUUUUCAGGUGCACAAAGACAUUUUUAGAUAUAAGCACUACCUAUCAAAAAAUGUUUAAACCUAUGCCAUUCAUAAAUUAUGAUCCCUCCUAUGUGUCGUUACCGUGCUCAAGAAAACCAUUACUACCCUACUUCCUUUCGCUACCACCAUCCUUAAUAUUUCGAAAUUCUAUCCCAUAUUUUACAAGUAAACAGACCAAUUCCACAUGCUUUCUCACAUUAGUCUGAAUCAUCAACCACUGAAAAGUGAUUAACAUCAAUGAAUCAAAUGUUUAUACAGAAAAAAAAUCUAAUAACCAAUUUAAGAGCAUAACAAUAAACAAUUUGUUCUAAAGGGUACAGAGGAAAUCACAAUUCACCAAUAUGAAUAUGAAAAACAAUAGCAACGCAUCCUCUGCACUUUCAACACUCUUUCCCUCGCAGAGAAACUGAAUGCAAUAAAAUCACAGUAAAGCCACAAGCUUACACAUCAAGAAAAUGUGCAUAAGAAUGUAUGCAUCCAUUAAAAAAAUGUUAGCUUCAAAGUAAGAUAUCAUUUUGCCACCAAAAAGACUUCAAGUUUCUUAGCUUUGAUAGGUGUGUUAGAAUUAGAAGCUGGAUUUGCAGCUGCUGCAACCUUGGUGGCCUCCCGCGCUCUCUCUUAUCAAGCUGAACCAGGCUCGUGUGGCCAAAAUUGCCAAUGGAAGCAAAUCGUGAGAAGCCCUGGCAUACAAACACCUCACUGCCACUGAUGUGGCAUCUUUCACAUCUUGAAAAUUGUGAGGAGCCAACAGACAGUGGCCAAUAAUUUGCUAUGUGGGCUGCAAAAGCUCCCAAGGCAGUGAUCUGAGUGAUCAUCCCAACAGCAACACUAUGUAAGGGUACAUGACAGUGAUCUACGUGAUCAUCCCAAUGGCAACACUACGUAUAUAGAAGACUUAAGAAAAACCAAAGCAAGAACAAGAUGACAUAAGAAUUAGGAAAGAAACAAAUGCAGCAAAUGCAUAAAAAAUAUGUUAUAUUCCUAUAUCCUUGCCUGUUAACUGUGGACUAAUCGGUGAGCUCUCCCUGUAUGCUAGCAGAACAGAGCAACCGCAAUCAAGUAUGAUCUGACUUAACCAAUUCAGUACCAGAAACAUAGAAGAAAUUGUAGUAGUGUACUUGCCAUCUCCCUAUUUGAUGCAAGUUAAAGUUUUCAGGCAUUGAAAGAGCAGCAAUCUUCCUCCCUCCAUCUUCCAUCCCCAACAACCUUUGAAAUAAUUUUAUUACAAAUUAAAGCAACAAAUGCCUUAGUUAUUGAAAAGUAUAAGCCCAAAGAAAACAUGCUUGUUUCUUUUUGGUUACGUAUAAGUUAUCACACAUUUCAAUCUCAUACAACCUACAAAAUGAUGUAUGAACAACUUGUAAUUUGCAGAUUAAAAAGAGUCUCCCCUGUUGUGCCCUCAGAAAAUGGACUGAUGCAGUAAAUGUUGAUAGAUUAGUCUAUGGAACAUAAUUAGAGCCUCAUGAGUAUAUACAAUAAGACAAGUCACAUAUUAUACCCGGAGAGCUGAUUGGCACGGUGUUAUGACCAUAGGCAAUGACAUCUUAAAAAGUUUGUGUAUAGGGAGACUUGAUACCAAAACCAACAAUCCAAUCUUAGUCUUGAAGUACAAGAUGUUGAAGAUCCACUUUUGUCAAGGAUGGAGCUUAGUUGGCAAGAUUGAAAUGAAACAAUUCCCAAUGACUAGAACUUAGAGGCGCUUUGACUUCUACAAAUAGAAGAAGACCUAAAUAUGUUGUAUCAUGACAAUGUAAGGGUGAAGGAAGGGCGCAAAGUAGAAGACAGUGGCAUCAAGCCAUUCCAAAUCAACACAAAUAGGACUUAAAAUAUUAACCAAAACAAAUUGAAUAAUAGGCUCUUUGGAGGAUCCCUUUUUUUAAUUUCAUAAAUUCUCAUAUUCUAAUUCUAUUUCAAAUAAGUCACAAAAAUAAAACUUGAAAACAAAUCAAUAAAUAUUCUUAUAGGGUUUAAGACAUUUUUAAAACUUGAAAACGCAUUCACUAAAAAAUAAAGCAUCAAACCAAGCUUUAAAAAAAAUUUAAAAAUCAAAGUUUUAGGCAAAAAUGAUUUCUUUAAAACAAAAAUUCCACAAAGUAAUUUGAUUCUCAAAAUCAUUUAUAAAUUAGUGUGUCAUAAAACUAUAGUUUUAAUAUUUUUUUUAAAAUGGUCAAAAUUGUAGUUGGUGAUUAUGAUUUUAAACUUAAAUUUAAAAUCAUGAUCAUUAACUACGGUUUUAUAUAUGUUUAAAAAAUUUUCAAAAUUAGUAAAUACAGUUUUGUGACUAAAAAAAAAAAAAGUUCUUAGGCCUUGUGGAUAUUUAAGUAGCUAAGAUGCGUUAGUUUGAGAAUUAUUUUGGUAAGAGGUUUAGUUUGAGAUUUUAUUUUUAUUUUUUAAGAUAUAGUAUUUUUGCUCAAAAUUCAAAAAGUCAUUUAAAGUGAUUUUUGAAUUAAUAUUUGAUAAACAUUUCUUUUAAAAAAUAUUUUUUUGUUAUUAAAAAUACUUUCAAGGUGCUUUUUUUCUUAUUUAUAUUCAAAAUAUUAAUUUUGAUUCUUAAUAAAAAUAUUUAUGAUAGAAAUAUUAGGUACAAGUAUUGCAAAGUGUAGUUUGUUGGUUAUUUGAAAGGACAUUAUAUAUAACAAGGUGUUCAUACUUAUUGUAUUAUUGAAUUAUUGAACUUUGGAUUUCAUUAGUGCGGUGGAUUUGUUUAACAAACAUUAGAAAUCAAUGGACAUUAUGUUGUGAAAAUCAUGAAAAAGAAUAAUAAUAGGGAGAAAAGAAUAAGAAAAAGGAUAACAAAACACACAACGAUUUAUGUGGUUCGACCUUAAGCCUACAUUCACGGGCGAAAACGAAGAACUUUUACCAUGGUUUUAGAAUACCGGAUUGGACCGGCUGAUCCGACUGCCGACUGGUCACUGUUCUGGUCCGGUCCAACCAAUUGGACUGGAAUGGUAUUGAACCGAAGUCGGACCGAACCAGCGGUCCAACCGGUAAACCGGACGAAUCUGCCGGUUCGGAUAUUCGAUUAAAAUUAUUUUUUUCCUCCCAUUGUUGUUGUCCCUCGUUGGCAACACCCCUGUGCUAGAAAAACUUCCCCUUUUUGCCCAUCGAAACCCACCCCCGCGCUAGAAACCCCAUUUUUCCAUGACCCCGUUGGAACCUCCGCCCCCAUCCCCGCUGGAAAAGCUUUCAUUUUUUGCCCUUUGGAACACCCCCACACGACUCCCAGGAACCCCCACCCACACCCUGUGCCGAAAAAGCCAACCCCCUUCUUCCUUCCCCCCAAACCCUCCUCUUAGCAACCCCCACUGGAACCCCCACAUUGGAAAAAGUAUUCCCUUUUUGCCUGACCCUCUCAUCCCUUAUUCCAGGUUGUUUUAUUUUUUUUAAUUAUUUUUUAUCUCAUCUCUAUAUUAUUUAUUUAUUUUUAAAUUUAUUAUUAUUUUACUUCAUGUUUAAAACUUAUGAUUUUAAUUUAAAUUAAUAAAAAAAUUACCAGCUUAAAUCAAUUUCUGAUUUUAAAAUAAGUUUUUUAAUUUAAAAAUGGAUUUUAAAUUUUAAAUUUGAAACUAAUUUUUUGAUUUUCAAAUAAAAUUUUAAUUUUUAAAUAAUGUAUAAAUUAUUAUUUUUAUUUUUAUAAUUAUUUUAAAUUUUAAUAAUUUAUAAAUUAUAUAUUUAUGACGUCAUCGGUUCGAUCGCAGUUCGAUUGUCGGUUCGACCAGUGAACCGUGAACCGAUAACUUUUCCGGUUCUGAAAACAUUGACUUUUACUAUUGUUAAAGGAUAUUACAACUCUUAAAACUCUCAAAUCCUAAAACCCCAAUUUAUACCUAAAAAAAGACUUACUAUUUUGGUCAAAAAUCUCUUCCUAUAUUUUUUCCUAAUUACAAAAGAAGUUUCUAUAUAGGAAACAAAGUGUAUAAUUGUCAAAGAUACCUUUUCCUAAAUAGAAGAUUUCAUAUUAGGAUAUUUCCUAUAAUAAUAGGAAACCCACUUUCAAGAAUAUUUUCUAUUAGGAAACUAUCAAUAACUUUCCAAAUUGACUCAAAAUACAAUUUGAGACACUUUCCAACAAUCUCCAUCUUGGCUCAAAUUCCCAAGAUUAAAAUAAACUUGAAAGUCUUCAAGUUACUUCUCUCCCACAUCCUAUAGGGGUCUUCAGAUACUACUAACACCAAUUAAGUCAAAGCAAUGCUUGAACUUAAUUAUAGGAAUAGACUUAGUCUUCAUAUUUGCAGGAUUGUCCAUUGUAGGGAUUUUUUUUUCAUUACAAUAGCACCAUGUGCAGUCAUAUCCCUAAUAAAAUGCAUUCUGACAUCAAUAUAUUUGGUCCUCUCAUGGAACAUCUAAUUUUUAGUCAAAUGUAUGACACUUUGGCUAUCACAAUACACAACAAUCAACUCUUGUUGUAAGUCUAAAUCACCAACCAAACCUUUAAGCCAAACAACUUUUUUCACUGCUUCUGUGGCUACCAUGUAUUCUACUUCAGUGGUUAACAAAGCAACUAUAGAUUGUAAAGUUGCUUUCCAACUAAUAAUACUACCACAUAAAGUAAAUACAUACCCUGUUAGAGAUUUUCUUUUAUCCCAAUCUUCAUCAUAAUCAAAAUCAACAUAACCAACAAUUUCCCCAAAGAUGUCAAUAUUUUUAUCAUAUACUAAGCCAACAUGUGUGUUCCUCUCAAGUAUCGAAGUAUCCAUUUCACUACUUGCCAAUGGAUAUUUCCAGGGUGAUCCAUAUAUCUACUCACCACACUAACUGCAUGUGAAAUAUCUAGCCUAGUGCAAACCAUGACAUAUAUAAUGCUCCAAACUACACUAGCAUAAGGAACAUGUGACAUGUACUCUCUCUCUUCUUUAGUUUGUGGUAAUAAAGCACUAGAAAGUUUGAAGUGAGCUAUGAAUGGAGUACUCACUAGUUUUGAACCUUGCAUUCCAAAGUGUUUUAAUAUUUUCUCAAUGUACUUUUUAUGUGACAAGUACAAUUUUCCUUCUUUUUAGUCCCUAUGGAUCUCCAUAUCCAAUAUUUUCUUCAUAGCUCUAACGUCUUUUAGUUCAAACUCUUCUUGACGUUAAGUUUUCAAACUGUUGAUCUCAGACAUAUUCUUGCAGGCAAUUAACAUGUCAUCAACAUAUAACAAUAAAUAAAUGAAAGAACCAUCAAACAAUUACUUCUGACAAACACAAUUAUUAUACUCACUUCUAUGGUAGUCAUUACCAAUCAUAAAAGUAUCAAACCUUUUAUACCAUCACCUAGGAGAUUGCUUUAAACUAUAAAGAGAUUUCUUCAAUAAACAAACAUGGUAUUCCUUUCCUAAAAUGAUGAAUCCUUCCGGUUGAUGCAUAUAAAUUUGUUCUUCCAACUCACCAUGUAGAAAAGUAGUCUUGACAUCAAGUUGCUCUUACUGUAAAUUAAAUAAAGUAACCAUAGCAAGUAACACUCUGAUUGAGUUAUGCUUCACAAUCGGAGAAAACACUUCAUUAAAGUCCACACCCUUUUUUUGUGAGUAGCCCUUUGCCACCAAAUGUCUUUAAACCUAGCAUCCUCCACUCCUAGAAUUCCUUCCUUUCUUUUGAAGACCCAUUUGCAACCAACAAUCUUUUGAUUUUUAGGUUUCUCAACUAGUUGCCAAGUAUGGUUCUUUUGAAGAGAUUCUAUCUUCUCAUUCAUAGCAACAAUCCACUAUGUAGACUCUCUACUAAUGAUGGCUUCGUGAUUAGUUUAAGGUUCCUCAUUUGCAAUGCUCUUUGCCACAUUAAGUGCAUAAACAACCAAAUAUGCAUAAGCAUACCUUUGUGGUGGUAUAAUAUGAAUCCUUAUUCUAUCUUUAGCCAAAUAAUAUUGAUGUUCUUGUGGUGCAUUUUCUUUAUCAUUAAAAUGUUGCACUUCUUCCUUCUUUAACUUUAUUGAAAUCGUUUUUUCUAUGGUUUCUAAAGCUUUAGUCACAAACUUCACCAUUUUUUUCUCACAUCAGGGUCGUUUUCUGUAUGAAAUUGCUCCUUUCUAGGACUCAACAUUGCAGACUCAUUAAAAGUCACAUCCCUAUUAAUAAGAAAUUUGGAAAAAUUUAGAUCUGGGCACCAUUACUUAUACCCUUUCACUCCAUCGACAUAUCCUAAGAAUAUGCACUUUCUUGCCCUUGGUUCCAACUUACCUUCAUUCAUAUGAGCAUAAGCAGGACAACAAGAAAUUAUUAAAUUAACAUAAUUAGGAGAACCACACCAUACCUCUUCAGGAGUCCUACAAUUAAUAGGAAUUGAAGGAGAUCUAUUCACAAGAUAUCAAGUUGAAUUUACUACUUUAGCCCAAAAUUCCUUUGACAACUCUACAUUCGAAAGCAUGCAUCGAGCUUGCUCUAAAAGAGUUUUAUUCAUCCGUUCUAUCAACUUUCUUUCACUCAUAUGCCUAAGCCGCAUAUGCCACAAUCUAGUAAUCUUUAUAAUUGAUUUUGAGGUUGAAACUGCAACUGCACCUGUUACCGUGCUACCCUACUAUGUAUAAAGACCAUUAAUUUUCUUUCCGUUCAUCACAACAAGACCACCCUUUGAAACCCUCAAAACUCCACCUCUAGCUUUAUAUAUGCAUCCAUUGGAGUCAAGUGUCCUUAAAAAAAUCAAAUUUUUGUUCAAUUUUGGAACAUGCCUUACAUUAGUUAAUGUCCUUAUAAUGCCACCAUGCAUCUUAAUUUGAAUUGUGUGUAUCCCAACAACCUUACAAGCUACCUUGUUUCCCAUGAGAACUUUCCCACCAUCUAUGGGUUGGUAGGUACUAAAUCAAUCCCCAUUGGGAGACAUAUGAUAGGAGCACCCUGAAUCAAGAAUCCACUCAUCAUCUAAGUUUGUAAUAGUAACUAAAAGAACAUCUGUAGUAUUUGAAUUUUCUUUUGUAAAUGUUGCAUCACCAGAAUUAUAAUUUCUCUUAUUUUCUUUUCCUUUACGAUCUGGACAAUUUUUCACAUAGUGCCCUUCUUUUUUACACUUGAAACAUUUGUUGUUUCCCCUGGACUUUGAUCUAGAUCGACCUCUUCUACCAUUAUUUUUCUUUCUUGUUCUCCCUCUAGCCACCAAACCUUCACCUGAGUCAUAUUUUCUACUUUUGAACACCAUUUUCUUCAACUCCCUUGAGUUCAAGGCUACUCUAACAUCCUUUAUGAAGAGAGUACCUCUACCAUACAUCAUAAUAUCUACGAAGUGCUCAUAAGAAUUUGGUAGGGAACACAUUAAAAAUAUGGCUUGGUCUUCAUAAUUAACUUUAACAUCAAAGUGGUCUUUCAUGGACAUACUUUCUUUCAUCUGAAGAGUGUGCAAUCGCUUCUUUAAAUACAAACGAUUUUUUAGAGACUUCGUCAUGUGCAGACUUUCUAGCUUCAACCAUAACUUGGCAGUUAUAUCUUCUUCUGCAAUCUCACGAAGCACCUUAUUACCCAAACACAAUAGAAUAGCACUAUGUGCUUUCUCCAUAGGUUCAUCAUUCUUUUCAUCAAACAUCAUUGUUGGUAGAGUCUUUAUACCUUUCAAUGCUUUGGACAACCCCUAUUGAACCAAUAAGGCAGGCAUCUUAAUGCGCCACAAAUUGAAAUCGUUUCUUCCAUCAAACUUCCCAACCUCAAACUUUGUCGCCAUUCUAGGUCUAAUAACCUUAGCUUUGAUACCAAUUUGUUGUGCAAAUCACUAGAAAUAAUAAUAAUAAGGAAAAAAGAACAAGAAAAAAGAAAACAAUACACAACGAUUUACGUGGUUCGACCUUAAGCCUAUAUUCACAGGCAAAGAUGAAGAAAAACUUUUACUAUUGUUAAAAGAGAUUACAAUUCUUGAAGUUCUCAAAUCUCAAAGCCUCAAUUUAUACCCAAAAAGAGACUUACUAUUUUGGUCAAAAAUCUCUUCUUAUAUUUUUUCCUAAUUACAAAGGAAGUUUCUAUAUAGGAAACAAAGUGUAUAAUUGUCAAAGAUACCUUUUCCUAAAUAGAAGAUAUCAUAUUAGGAUAUUUCCUAUAAUAAUAGGAAACCCACUUUCAAGAAUAUCUUUUAUUAGGAAACUAUCAAUAACUUUCAAAAUUAACUCAAAAUAUCAUUUGAGACACUUUCCAACACAUUGAAUAAUUUUUUUUUUCAAAAAAAGAAAGACAAAAGCAAAGAGCACCAAGUGGUAAUUAAAUAAAUAAAAAUAAAAAUAAAAGAAGAUAAAAGAAUAGAUAAAGAGCUAAACUUGUUCUCAGACUAGAUUUAAAAAUAUAAUUUAAGUAGAUUCUUAUUUGAAAAAUUGUAAGAAAGCUUAACGUUUGAAGUACAAUAGUAAAUUUCCAAUUGAUAAUUAGAACAUGUUGUAGAGAUCAAAAUUUUUAGUAGAUUAAAUUGCGACUAAAUUAGUCUUUAAAAUCAUGGUUUUUAAUUCAACAAAAAUUAGGCUUAUAUGGAAUGGGUUAUAUGUAUUAGACACGUGGCAUGUAAUUAAAAGAUGACAUGUAACAAAAUUCAGAAGGUUAUAAAACUAAGCUUUGUAUAAGAGAGAAUUAUAAAUAAAUAUUCCCUUGUUGGCAAAUUCCCUAAAUAAGGAAAUAAAUUUUCCAAUUUAUGUUAAAAGAGAAUUAUAAAUAAAUAGUCUCUUGUUGGCAAAAGAAUAAGAAAAGUUACUAAAAUCAAGAAACCAAAUUCUUUGAAUUAAACAAUUAAAUCUAUAGGAAUCAAAAUUCAAUUUUCUAUUUCCAUCUAUAAAUAAUGGCUACUGCCUUCAAAGAAGAGGAUAGGAAAAAUAAUUUCACAUAGGAAAAUAAAAUCUACGACAAGAAAAAGGUUUCUUAAAAUAUCCUUACAAGUUUGAGAAAUCGAAUAAGUUUUGUAGACACAUUCUUCAUUAUUCAAUGAAUUCAUUCAAGAAGUCAAUAUAAGCCUUCGAUUGAUUUUAAAAUCAGGAAAACACUUUCAUCGUCAUCUUUUGAAUUGUGAUUAAAGUGAAUGAAUCAAAGAAAAAAAAUUCUUUAUAAAGAAUAUUAUCACAAAAAUUGUAUUCUACAAUUAUUUUAUCCUAUAAUUAUUUUAAUACAAAGUUUUGUUUGCAUAUUUAUUUUUUCUAUAGUUUGGCUUAUUUUGCAAGACUUUUCAAAAUCUAUGCAUACAAAUUUCUAGCCAUUAAGAUGGGAUAUCUUUGUCUCUCAUCUUUUUUAGUAAAAAAAUUGAUCACUAUUAAGACGAUCACAUAAAAAAAAGGCUCAAACUAUGUAUGUUAACAAGGACUAGAACAAGAUUGUUAUUGGACCCUUCUAAAGAGGCAUGAAUUGAAGAAAUUGUUGAAAUGAUGAGUAGAUUUUCAAAGGAUUGUGAGGAAGCCUCCAACAUCGACAAGCUUCAAGCGAGGAAAGCAGUUAUGAGUAGGAUGUUGGUGAAGAGCCUGCAAGUUGGGGAUGCUGUGUUUGAGAGAAUAUCCCAUGCUGUUUAUUUGGCUGCAAGAGGAGUAGUGCUUGUAGGGAAUGGCCCUCAAGGAAGAAAAUUAGCAGAAAUGGCACUCCAGUUGGUGGGAACCGUUGAUCUGACUAAUAGAGUGGUGGCAGCUGCUGAAAUAUUGGUGGCAGCAGCCACGGUGUUGGUUAAUGUUCAUGGGCAAUGGUAUACAUAUCUGACUGAUAACAUGUGACUAGUUUGACAUGAAGAAGAAUGAAUUUAAUUACAAGGAGGAAAGAAGAAAAUAAUGCACACACCUGUACAUAGUGGUGGAUGUACAUUUAUGUUUUAAGUAUGAACACAGGAUGGAAGGUUGUUAAUAUGAAAAAAUAUUUCAUGAAUGGGAGAGGGAUGUUGUAAAUAAUAUUUAUAACUGAAUUGAAUGUUUUUUUUUUUCUAUUCUGAUUCAACUACCUUUAUUUUCUGUCCAGACUCCAGAGAAAUAAAGUUUGUAUGUCUGUCUGUCUGUCU